rnacentral:lncRNA from 1 species
AUUGUCAUGAUUGCCUCUUCCAAACCAACCUUAACCGUGGUUUUUUGCCUCCUAUUGUUCCUCGUCAAAUGCAUCAACACUUAAUUUCAUUAUCAUGGCCGUGAAGUACAAUUAUCAAUAUAAAUGUCGUAUUUGCAUUAAACCGGGCAGCUCGGUUGGCUACAAAUGUAUGAUUGCAAUUAUAAUGUUAAUUGAUAUUGUGGAAUCUGUAUGGUUUCAUUGGUUUCUCCAUUGACGCUAAAUCAUGGUCUCGUGAAGUUGCGUUGGAGAAGCAUAAUUGCCAUACAUGCCAUAGAAAAAUAGAACCAAAUUACCAACCGUUUUAUUGGAGUAAGGUGUGUCAUUUAGCUAUUCACAUGGAGUGCAUGAGACCAGACCUCAGGAAAGUUGGUGUCUUUUUCUCUAUCUCUUUUGAGAAUAACAAUUCUAUUAGUUUUAAAACAUCGAUUUUUGUCAGAUGUUGUUCUGCUUGACUAAUCAAUUUUAUGCUGUUGUAGCAAGUACCCAUUGCUAUAGGGACUUGGGGUGGUCAGGGAGGAAGUUGGUGGGACGACGGAGUGUUCUGCACGGUCACAAAGUUGGUGAUAACUCAUGGAAAUAUUAUUGAAGCUAUCCACAUUGAGUAUGAAAGAGAAGGAGCCUUAAUUUGGUCAGAGAAACGUGGUUGAGUUUUACAAACCCAUGAAACCAAGGUUAGUCACUUUUUAGUAUUUUUUUUCUUGGAAUCAGCUAAAGAGCUUGAUUUAUUUACUUUCUUGCUUGCUGCCAUUUUUUUUGGCAGGCGGAGCUUGAUUACCCAGAUGAGUACCUUACUUCAAUCCAUGGACACUAUGGUAGCUAUGCUGUAAUGGGAGCAGACAAUUGUGUUCGUUCACUUAGUUUCGAAAGCAACAGAAGAACAUAUGGACCAUUUGGUCAGGAGGAAGGAACGUACUUUUCUGUUCCCAUGACUGAAGGCAUGAUCGUUGGGUUCUAUGGCAGGAGUAGCCAUAUUAUUGAUGCAAUUGGUAUUUAUUUAAAGCCUGUCCAUUAACAUAGGAGCUCCAAAGGGCUUGUCCAAGCCUGAGUUUUGGCAAUGCCGGGGAAAUAUUGGCUACUUUGUGAUACGAGGAACGAUAGGCAACAGUUAAAGGAGGCAGGAUAAUUUUUCAUGUCAAAGAUAGAAUGUUGGAUGAUAAAAAUAGUAAUAUUUAAGUUCGUAUUAUUUUUCUCAUUAUUUAAUUUAUAAUUUUUUUAUCAUGAAUGAUGUUCAUCGCGAUUCAAACUAAUAGCUUUAAUUUAUAAAUGGAUAAUGAAAUUAAAUAUAACAAGUCAACUUUAAGGAAAUGAUAAAUAAACUAUAGAAAAACUACUUAAUUGCCUCAAAUCAUGCAAUAUAUAAUAAAUGGAUGGGUCUUAUACUUCAAUUAUUAAGCCUCAUGGAAAUAAUAUUGAAAUUGAAAAUUCAAGAAAGUAGCGGAAAAUACAAACUUUUAUGCAUAUAACUCCUAAAAUCUUGAUAAAGAAUUAGCUAUGGCCAACAACUUGUUAGUGGUUUCAUCCAAUGACUUUAGGCUCUUCAAAAAUAUAUUAAAAAUACACAAAUAUAUGACAUGGACUUUAUAGUGGGAAAGUAUUAUUUCCUGAUUUCCUCCAGCAAAUUUUCAUCAAGUCAAAUGUUUGCCGAGAGAAGAUUCCUAACUGCAAUAUAUGCCUAGACUUUGUCUUGCAUUUCCUCAUCUUCUCAUUCUUCCCUGUACCAGAUUUUGAAGAAGAUAUAAAAUAUAUAAUUAAUCAUGUAAUAAUGUAAUUAUUGUAAAUUUACGAGAUGUAUUUUCAUUCAUUUUAUUAAUUUUGUCCACAAGCAAGAUUAUAAACAAUAUCUCUACAAGUAAGAUUAUAAUCUAGAUUAUAAGCCCAAGUUUUAGUUUGGAACAAGAUUUUCGAAAUUUGGCAGUAUGAUUCUAGCAGGUAGGAAGUUAAAUUUUCCACUUGUGUGUUUCUUCAUUAAUCUUUUAUUUCCACUAUGGGUUUGUGAAUUUUCUUCCUACAAUUGUCUUUUUGACAGAUCUAGAUCUAGCUUAUGACUUACUGCUUGAGCUAAUUAAUCCUUGCGGGUUCUUUAUUAAUUUUUUUAAAUGCAAUAAUUUAUUUCUUUUGCUCAAUCUAAUUCAGAAUUAUAAUUUGUAUAAAUAUCAAGCUGAUUAACUUUUCUAACAAGCUAGCUAUGCUUAAUUUUCAGUUGUUAGCGGCUUGAUUUACAUAAAGGCAAGAAGAAACAUGGAAAUAUUUGCUUCAUCAAUCAGGAAAGCAUGGAAGGAGUGGGAGCUGCGCGUUCAGGUUCUAAUCAGCCUCAUUUUGCAUAUUACUUUUUUAUGGAAAUCGCGGGAAAUAUUCAAAGAAAACAUGGACCCAAGUUGUGUUAUGGUGUGCCUACUUGAUGGCCGAUUGGGUAGCAACAGUUGCCCUUGGAGUGCUCUUGAAUGACCUGGGAGAUGUGUAUGAGGAGAAAAACGGUAAUAAAUUCAAUUUAGACGCAAAUACAGAGCUUAAUGCAUUUUGGGCGCCAUUUCUUCUGCUGCACUUGGGCGGCCCUGAUACUAUCACUGCAUUUUCUUUAGAAGUUAAUGAAUUGUGGUUAAGGCACUUCCUUGGAUUUGGAGUACAAACAGGAGUGGCACUGUAUAUAUUCCUUCUGGCCUGGACAAGUUCUCUGUCAUUCUAACCAUGCCAAUGUUCUUGGCAGGAAUUAUAAAUUAUGGAGAGAGUACAUGGUCGCUUAGGUCAGCAAAGCAAUGAGGAACUAAGAGAUUCCAUGAUUACUGCUCCAGAUUACUCCACGUUAGUGGAGGAAUUCACUUUAAACCAAUGGGAAGGUUCUAUGUAGUAGCAGAUGAAGUAGUUGAGGGGCAAGUGACAGUGGAUGUUUCUCCAAUGGAAGACAAGUCCAUUGAAGGUGAAAUUGCAUUGCUUAAAGCUCAUUACUUGUUCAAAACUUUCAAGCGUCUUUCUUUGUUGAUCUCAUCCUCAGUUUUCAAGAUCGGGACAUUAGCCAAUCCCUGUGCAGUCAAAUAUCCUGCGAAGAAGCUUACGAAGUUAUCGAGAUUGAACUGGGAUUCGUGUAUGAUUUGCUCUAUAAUAAAGGAACAAUAAUUUUCACACGUAACGGCUGUUGGCUUCGGUUCGUCACUCUCGGCACCACCUGCAUUGUACUGGUCUUUUUACUUUAUCCAACAAGCAAAAUUGCUCUGAGAUUGAUGUAGCCAUAACCUUCCUGUUGCUGGUCAUAGCUGUUGUUCUUGAGCUAUUUGCAUUGCUUUUGCUAGUCUCCACAGAUUGGACUGAUCUUUAUCUGCCUAAGCAGAAAAGAGUUAUCCGCCAAGCCAUCUCUCAUGUACGCCUGCGUAGACGUAGAAGAUGGUCAAACUCUUUGGCAUUGACUGAGCUAUUGCUUCACAGGUAAGCCUGUAACAAAGAGCAAAAUCCACAAGUUCUUCGGCAUUGACAAAAUACUACAACACCAGCACAUGACUUGUGAGCCAGUUACACCUGAGUUGAAAGAUUCCAUAUUCACAUAUCUCAAGGAGAAAUUCGACAAACUCAUCGAGACUAAAUCAAUCAUAGAUGCAUCCACUUACCAGAAAGAGCUUAAAAAUCAAUAUACGUGUCGGGGGGCUCAUGCCCUUCGUAAUUUUCCUACAUCUCUUCGGAGUGUGGAUGUAGAGUUCGACCGAAGCAUUAUUAUAUGGCACAUAGCUAGAAUUCUCAACUACCACGCUGAUAGGCAGGAGAAAAAUGAAGAAAUAAGCAGGAAGUUAUCGCAGUAUAUGUUGUAUCUGUUGGUUAUGCGUUCGUCCAUGUUGCCACUGGCCAUGGGAAUCGGGAAGAUCAGAUAUCAAGACACUUGUGCUGAAGCCACCACAUUUUUUCAAGAGCCUGAAUCCGUAGCAUCAGGUAUUAAAAAGUACAAAGAUACUUCCUCCUGGGCAAUCAGUCUUUUCAAAUACACAGAUUUCAAUCUAUAUGAAAAGAAAGCCUGCAAGGUGUUACUUAAUAAUGACAAUAUUGGAGAUCCACCAGUUAAAGUAAAAGGAGAAAGAACCAUGUCUGUGUUAUUUGAUGCAUGCAGGCUAGCAUCGGAUCUGCAAAACAUACCGAAAAUGUGGGAGGUGGUGACUGAUGUGUGGAUGGAAAUGUUGGCUUAUGCUGCUAGCCACUGUAGAGGAACCAAUCAUGCUCAGCAGUUGGGACGGGGUGGAGAACUUCUUACUCAUGUUUGGCUCCUGAUGGCUCAUUUUGGUUUAACUGAACAGUUCCAGAUAUCACAUGCCGAUGCAAGAGUCGAGCUUAGUGUGAAAUAAUAAGCUAACAGAUAAUAAUUUUACAACAGAAUAAAGAGUUGCCUGAGUUAAUUUGUUCUUCUUUAACUUGUGGUUGUUUUGUAACAAUUGAUCUUUCUUUCAUUCAUUCUACCUUGAAGCAAAACUCAGCCUAGUAAUAAAAUCAAUGCAUGCCUUAGUCUAGCAGAAAAGGUAAAACUACUGGGAAUUAAGUUUGAAUCUCUGAAUUAAAAGAAAGUCUGAAUUAAUAACCAAUCUUCCCCGUUCUAUUGAUCUGAACUUCUUCCAAAGCAAUCACAUAGUCAACACCAUCUAAUGGAUCAGUAUCCAGAUCCAUCUCCAUACUCUCGACAACUUUAUCCCUAAAAGAACCAUUGAGGUCUGGCUGAAUAUCUACACUGCUUCAGUAGACUCCGUCAUACUGUUGGACAAGCAGAAAGGUUGUUUGGAUCUGGUGAGGUCGAGAGAGACAUGUGUUCCUUCUUUGGUGCCUUAGCUUAGUAACAAGGUGAGAUCGGUUGGGAGUUCCUUUCUUGAGCCAUAUUUAACUGAUGAUAGAUACGAGUACUGAGUAGGCCAGUCCAAAGAAGUGGAGGACAUGCUUUUCAUUCAAAUUUGGGCUCACGACUUUCUCGCUUGUUUCGUUUAGAAUUCUUAAUUUAAUUGAUUUCGUACAUAAAUGAGGCCGUAUAACUGAUCUAGGCAAAUAUUUUCUAGAGUUAGCAAAAUAAAAGAAGUAAAAAACUGAAAAUUGUCUCUGAUGUCAAAAAAAAAAAAAAAAAAAAAAAAAAAGAAAGACUUGGAUACCGUACUCUUAAGCUAACACGAGAUAUUGAUAAGCUUUGCAUAAAAAAUUAAAGCUUCUCACCUUAGUCCUCCAUACGUAAGAGGUGUGGCAGCGGCCCCAUUGGUGAUAAUUAAGUCAUCUACAAGAUCAGUGUUCGCUACUCGUGAAAAACAACGAUGAGAAUCUAUACUAUUCUAUUCGUGCUAGUGAAGCAUUUCCUUGAUCAUUUUACAAAUUUCUUUACACAUUAAUCUGAAGGAAGCACAUCAUAACACGGCAACCAUAAAUGACAAGAAAUGCAUAUUAAAUGCACAUUAUAAGAGAAUCAAAAUUUGUCCCCUCAGUCAAGUCAAGCUGGAUGAGGAAGAUCAACCUUUAACUACAUAUCAAUCUAUAUAUAAGUUCUUGGGCUUUGGCUAGGCUUCGAGUCAUUCACCACAACACAAAGCAACUAGCUAGCUAUACAUUUUAUAUGUGAUAAAUGUUAAAAAGACCGAGUCCUGUUAUACCCUUAACUGAAGAACAAGUAAGAGGCAUGCUUUGGCUCGCUGACCGCAAUAGAGAUGGCAUUCUCAGCUGGCAAGAGCUAUUAGAAGCCUUCAAGUCGUUAGGUGCUCGAUUUCCACCAGUACAAGCUUGGCUAGCGUUGAUUUAUGCAGAUAAGAACCGAGAUGGACGCAUCGACAAGAGGGAGGCUGAAGAGCUUGUCAAAUACGCUUAUAGUCUAGGCUACACCAUUAAGUAGGUAGUAGAGCUAUGAAUCAAGAGGGCUUUUUAUGUGUGACUCAUUUUCAAUUUUAUAUUUAAUUAGUUUCCAUGGCAGUAGUGGAAUCGUAGUCUGUGUCUUAUGAAAGGAGAAACUACACGAGAGGUUUCCGGCGUAAGAUAUUUUGUAGGUAACUUGUUCGAUCAAAAUAUAGCAGAGUGCCCUUCGCUUCAUUUUUUCUCGUCUCUUUAUUAAAGCUGGAGUAGAAGUUGGCACACAAGAAAUUUUUUUAAUUUAAAUUAUAGAAACACACGUAUGUUUCUAUUUUCGAGCAGGGUGUCCAAAUACUAUAUAAUUUUUGGAUUACCCCAAAAAUUAACUCAAAAAUUCAAUAAAACAUUGAAAAAAUAAAUGCUCUGUUCGGAUUUGGUUGACUCAACUGCAGUCUCACUCAGGAGUUCAAGAUAUUUUGCAAUCUCUAAAUAUUUAUGAUAUUUCAAAGAUUCAAAGAGGUUGUUUGGAUUCAUGGAAUUUAAACAUUUAAUGGAUUUAUUAAAUUUCUUUGUUUGAUUAAAAAAAAUUUGUCAAAAUCUAUGGAAUUAAUAAAUUCCAUCAUCAUGGCUUCAAUUUCAACAUUUUAAAAGAAAAAGAAAUCUCACUUCAUUGGUAGAAUUUUCUCAGGAUGAAAUUUAAGCCACUUAAUUUCAUUUGAAAUUUUUUUUUUUUAAGUUCAUGAAUUUUAUUUUUUAAUCAAACAAUUGAAUGUCAAAUUCCAUAGAUUUCACAAAUUCAUAAUUUGAUAUUUUACGAAUUUUGUAAAAUUCAUGGAUUUCACAUUUUAAGAUCCGAAACCAACAUAUUAAUUGAAUAAUUUCUUUAUAUAAGAUAUCGGACAAUGGAUUGGAUUACAUUCCCAAUGAUACUCACCUACCUUUGGAACUCCUCAUCUAAAACACAUUGAAUUUGAUCUCUCCACAAAUUAACUGCUUCGGCUCCAAAUUAUUCACAAUUUAUUAUUGAAAAGGUACGGGAUGCAUAGAAUUUGAAUAACGAAAUUUAAAUAUUUUUCAAUUCUAACAUUUUUUUUUUUAUAAAUGAUAAGUUUAAACCACUUAAUUUUAUUUCAAUAAUAUUAUCAUUAAAUCUAAUUUAACCAUAUGCCAUUCCGAACAAAAUUUCUCCAACAUUAACCUAAUAAGGUACCUUCUUCAUAUUUUUUUUUUUCAAAAACUGAAAAUAAAAGUUUAACUAUUUAACCAAAUAAAAGUCAUAAAAAAAAAGUAAACUCAUAAAAUUAUCUUUCAACCUAAUGGUGUAAUAUAAAAUUUUAAAAUUUAUAUAUCCUGUGAAAUUCAUAUAUUUUGAUAUUUCAUCAAUUUAAUACCUUAAAUAUAAAAAUAAGUACACCACGGCUGCGUAAAAUAUUAAAUCUCAAGUCUAUCCGAUUCAAAACUGAAAAACUUAAUUAUUAAAAACACAUAUACGUUCGAUUUGUCUGGAUGGAAUAGAAGAUAAAAAUAUUUCACAACUAAAAAGGUGCAGGAUUUGUGAGCAUUUAAAUAGUUUAAUCAUCUAGGAUCAAUUAUGCUAAUCUUGUUCAUCAUUUCCAUAUCUUUUUCCCAAGAAGCAAAACAAAGAAUCUUUCGCCAUUAGAUAAUAUUCUUCCAAUCACAGUACUACAAAUCCACAGUCACAGAAUUCCGGUGAUGUUGGAAUUUCCAGUCUUUAGCAGUAAUCUUUAGACUGUGCUUUAUUACCAGAGAUUCGCAUCAAUCUUUAUCUUCUCUUUUUAUCCAUUUCUUAGCUUUAAUCUAAACUUAUCUCUGUAUUUUUAUUUCUAUUUUUUGAAGCGUAUUGCAUCAGUAUACAUACGCAACGUGUUUCGCCUCAAUUGAUGUCAUAUAUAUAUAUAUAUAUAUAUAUCUUUGCUCUUCCAAUUAGCAAAUCAAGACAGAAAAAAAAAGGAAAAAGGAAUACAUAAUUAAUAAUGCAUAUACGUCUCUAUAUAAAAUCUGUUCUACAGACUUUGAUUCACCAACAGCAACCAGACGCCUAAGUAAAAUUAAGCUCUCAUAAGCAAUUAAUCCAAGUUUUUCCUUCCAAAAGAAGACAUGGCUCCAUUUUUUACUUUCCACACCAACUGUAAAUGCUGUCCUCCGCCUCCCCUUACUGAACCCUAUCUGAAAGAAAUUUUUAGGCGCUUUGAUAGUGACAGAGACGGCCUUCUUAGCCGCCAAGAGGUUGCAAAAGCCUUCGAGUACUUGGGUUCUCGGCUGCCGGGCUGGCGAGCUCAGCGAGCUCUCUAUCAUGCUGAUAAGAAUAGAGAUGGCUACGUGAAUGAAGCCGAGUUGGUUGAGGUUGUUAAAUAUGCACUUUCAUGUAAUUAUAAGAUGCCAAUUGGUAAAUGGUAAUGGAUGUCUGCUUUCUUACGAGAAGAGAAACUGAAGGUGUUAUAGUAUUCAUAUAUGUUUCCUGCGUAAGAAGUUGCAGAGAACUUGUGUAUUAUACUAGUGUUUUCUUUUUCAUUUUCUUUUUGCCCUUUCUGAAGGAUAUGUACUAGUGUUUUCAAUCAAUAUAAAUUCUUUUUUUUAUAUAUUUUUUAUUUCUACAAAAAUGUUGCUGAAUAACGGAUAAUUGAUUUUGUUAUAAGUGCGAUGAAAACUUAUAUGAUUCAAUUAACAUGCAAACUUGCCAAUCUAUUUUUUAAAAACAAAAUAUAUUCAAUAAAAGUAAUCAUAUCAUAUCAAUAAAAACAAAUUAAUAAAAUAAGCAUAUCAAUAAAAAUCACCAUAUAAAAGAAACAAGGUAUAUAUACAGAAGCUAGCGACAAUAUAUUCUCUCUUUUUUUUCUAAUAUAUAAAUUAAAAUUCCACAUAUAUAUAUAUAUUCCGAGAUGGAAUUUGCAGAUUCUCGCAACUAAUUUUUGCUUUGAAUCAACAAACACAUGUGGUUUCAAGUGGCAUAGUUGCUUCAAUAAUUAAGGCUUUGUUUCGGAAGGAGGAGAAAAAUAAUGAAGGAAGGAAAAUUAUAGAGGAAAAAAUAGGGAAUUGUCAUAAAAAAUUAUUACUAAAUAUGUUUACAAUAAUGAAAAUAAUCACAAAAAAAUUGAUAAAACAAAGCAAAAUACAAUAGAAAACCUUCUUGAAAAGCUUUCAUGGUGCAAGCUACUAUGGAAUCAUCAAAGAAAGUAAAUUGUUUCCAUUAUUAUAUAAUUUCAAGACCACAAUGGAAUCGAUUCUUUCGUUAUUAUUCAGGGACGAAGUAAUAGGUAGGGAUGAGAGGAUUUGAACCCAUGACAUUUUGUACCCAAAAUAAAUGCUCUACCAAGCUGCACUACAUUCCUUUCGAUUAGUUUACAAUGUUAUUCUAAAGAAUAUCGGUUUUGUUUUCUACAUACUUAUUUCAUUUUCUCCCGUGUACGUAUGUAAUGAACAAAAUCCUUAUUAAAUUUGGAGGUUAUAACCAAGAAGCACAUAGAUCUCCCUUAAAACUCACUAGGAUAAGCGAUAUUAUUGAACCAGACAAAGCAACAAGCAUCACUGUUCCCAUCGCUAUUACAGAACCAUACAUGAGAUUCUCACCUCAAAUAGAUUUUCUCGUUAUAUUUUCUGCUACUCCACAAUUUCAUAAAGGAUUCUACCUGGUUUAACGACAACUACCCAAUAUUCGGGAGAUCCUUUCCUAAACCCAGGUCUCCAAAAACUCGUGCAAAGUUUCCUCCAGUGAUAUGAGUUACCACCCCUUGAUCACUUACACUAACCCAAUUUUUUUUUUUUUUUUUUUGAAAAUGAGUUAAUAUUGUUAAUUCUAUUUUCCACUUGGAUAUAAAUAAACAAAGAAAAUAAAUUAUAUUUUCCUUUAUAUGGAAAGUGCAAAAUUUUGAAGGAAAGGAAAUUCUAUUUAUUAUAAAUUGAGAAAUAUACUUUUAUUUAAAAUUUGAAAAUUGAUAAAUAUUUGAAAUUUGUUAGUACUUGAAUAAUUUGCAUAAAAAUAGUAGAAUUUCAUAUUUUUAACUGAUUUUUUUUCAAAUUAGAGAAAUUUUAAAUAUGUGAACCUGUGUGGAAAAUAAGUUAAAGUUCACUCCUUUCAUUAAUUAUUUUCCUCCCCAUUCCCAAAUAAAAGAAAAUUUCUUUUUUGGGAGAUUAACAUAUUUGUCUACACUUAGCCGUCUAUGCACGAUGCAAAUUAAUUAAAAUAUAAAUUUUUUUACAAAUUUUCCCGCUAUAUGUUUCUUUUUCCUAAUGAAUAGGCAGAAAUACUCUCAUUUUUUAAAUAAAUAAAUAAAUAUAUAUAUAUAUAUAUAUAUAUAGUGCAUAUAUAUGUAUGUAUGUAUCUUAAGAAUUUUUAAUUGCCAACUCAUUAACUUUUUUUUAUAAAGUUGAUGAUUUUGGGGUCAACAUUUUGUAGUUCACAUAUUGGUGAACAUUCAGUCAAUCUGGUUCUACUUUUAGGAACCUUCUUUUGUUCAUUCUUCGUCACAAAAUAAUAAUAAUAAUAAUUGGAAAAAUAUGUUUAGUGAUUAACUAUAAUUACAACUAAAUUUUAUUGAUUAAAUCCUUAACAAGUUAUUGAAAAAUAUAAUUACUCAAAAUUCAUUGAAGUCACUAAACUCAUACUCCUUCUUUUUCAAAAUAUAAGUCUUUUUUUCAGUUUUUGUCCUUAAAAUAUAAGUCGUUUUGAGUAUUUUAAAGAAAUAAUAAAUGAUAUUUUUUUAAUAUUACCCUUAUUUACAUUGGAUAUAAUAAAUAUUUUCACAACUAUUGAUUUUGAUAUAAAGAAUCGUUUGGUCAAAUUAUCCUUGAUUUUAUCAUAAUAUAAGAGAAUUAAUUAUUUUAUUAAUUUUUAUAUAAAAAUUUUAAAUGACUUUUAAAAGAGAGAGAAAACAUUAUUAAGAAAUAUUGAGUAAUCGCUUUCUGAGUACAGGUUGACAACAACACUGCAUCUAAUUUUGGUAACUCUUUGGCUACGACGUCAGGCUCCUAGUUUAACUUGUCUGAAACAGUCAAUCGCGUCUUUUUGUAAGAAUGUGAAGUGAUAGGAUGACGUGUUUUUUUUGCAGAGCGCAGAAAUUUAAAUUUAAAUUUAUUGUUAAAUUAUAUUUUAAUGUGUAAACAAUAACUGUCUUUAAAAUAAUUAUCAACUAAUGAAUGAAAAAAUAUCAGCAAAUUUACGCACUCAGUCUAAACAAUUAUUUUUAUAUAUCAUAUAUUAUACGCGUAUAUAUGUACUGUACAUUGUACAUAGGUCUUUGACGGUUGGGAUCAGCUAAAGACAAGUACGAUGAAACCUGAAGCAGAAUAUUAUUUGUGCUGCCCAAUAGAAAAUUAAAAAAAAAAAAAAGAAACCAAUCAAGAGAGCACGCGUCAUUAAGUUUUGCUUCGGAAGGCGUGCAGACGUGGCAAGGGCAUAGCGUGCCAUGUUGGCCGGUGAACCGACAUUUGAGGCUCCCCUUCAAAGCGAGACUGAGUCCCACUUAUCUUUCCUUCCUUCCUCAUGAAAUUUUAUUAUUAUUAUAAGUUUGAACUAAAUAAUUAAUAGUUAUUAUUUUAUAAAUCACCCACCAUAGAGACCGGUUUGCCUUUUCAUUAGUGAAAUGAUGGCCAGGUGGGGCCAACUCCACAUGAGCUCACUUCAGCUCAACUGCUGCCUUCAAUCGGUAUUUAAGAGCCCACCAAUGUCUUCAACGAUCAACGUUUACUCGCUCUAUUUCCAAAUAGUCGUCGCAUCUGAAAAAAAUAUUAAUGUUAUAUUUCUAAAUACUUAUUAUAUUUAUAGAUUUCAAUAAUUAUUAUUAUUUUUUUUCUUUUUUCACCCUUUGCAUAUAAUUAAUUAUUUAAUAAUUUAUUAUAAAUUAGACAAAUUAAAAAUAGUAUAGUCAAUCAAUACUCAACCUCCUACUUAAAUGACUUAAGACUUUUUUACUCAAACCAAUUUCUAUUUAUAUAUUUAAAUACUACUUUCUUUGUCCCCAAAAUAUAAAUCGUUUAAGAUUUUUGCAUAAAGAUCGAGAAAGUAAUUAAUUUUCUUAGAUUAUAAUAAAACAAAGAGUAAAUUGACUAAAUUAUAUUUUAUCUCAAAAUCAAUAAUUACUUAUAAAAAUAUUUAUUAUAUCCAAUAUAAAUAAUAGUAAUAUUUAUAAAACAUCAUUUAUUACUUUUUAAAAUACUCAAAACGACUUAUAUUUUGAGACUGAGAAAAUAUUUCUUAUAUUGGGAUUGUAACAUUUAUCUUUCACAAUUUAAUAACAUAUCAUCUUGAUAAAUGUUUUUGAAACAACACCAUUAGGGACAUUACUUUUUUUUUACUCCAUUUGAGAAAAUGACCCUACUAUUUACUUAUUUUAUUUCUUUUAGGUAUGAAAUUCAAUAUGAAUGAGAAUAAAUAAUUGUGGAAAAUAUUUUAUAGUUUUCAAUUCAAUGCAUUACUUGAUGAAGAAUAUUCUAUAACCCGUAUCCAAACAAAGGCUUAAUUACGGGAGAUAUAAUUGGGUUUGGGUCAAGAUUCUUACCAAACUAUAUAUUAAUUAUAAUAGGAAUCAUUUCACUUUUGUUCAAAAAUUCAGUGUUUAUAGUAAGCCUUAAGCCUUACCGAUACUAUCUUGCGGUCAAGUUAUUCGAAACAUGUGGUCUAGUUUAUCCUCACUUGACUAUACCUUUGUCUUUUUGCUUUAUUUCUCCGCUUUGUAACCAAAAAAUAAACAAAUAAAAUUCAGUCACUGUGAUUAACAUUAUUAUAAAUUGUUCCUGAAAAAACGUUACUAAAGUGAGAAAAAAAAAAAAAGAAUAUGUUUGACCAGAUAACGUGGCAGGAUGAUUUUUUUUUUUUUUUUUUGCCUUUUUUUUUGGUACAAAAAGAAGAAGACAUAAAGAACUGAUUACUACUUCUCUUAGAGAAAGUUAUAAUAGUUCUAUUAUGAUAUCAUUAGUAAAAUUUCACUUUAUUUGGGAAGGAGAGGAAAGAAAAUAAUAGAAAAAAAUAAUGAAGGAUUGAAAUUAUUUUCUUUUCUUAGUUAUUUUUUACUCUUUGUUUGGACGAAGAGGAGGAAACAAAAUUAUUAUAGUUAAUUUAUAAAUUUGCCCUUAUUAUAAGACAAAUAUCACUAUUUCUUAUGGAAAGCAUGGCCCAGGAAAAAUUUAAUUAAAAUUUUUAAUUUCUUCCUCUCAGACUUUAUUCAAGGUUCCUAAACAUGAGUAUUUUCCUUCCUCUCAGAAAAUCCUCCCUUCCCAAACAGAGUGUUAGAAAACGAACAGAAGCAGGAAGUAAAGCUUCACCAGUAAGUUAGCAGAUUAUCACUUUGCACAUAAACUUUAGAGAAAACCUUUUUAUCGUAAACAAAAAGCAAUUUGUUUUUUUUUUUUUUUUUCUUUUCAACUGCCUAUAUAAGAACCUAAUACCCACAUUUGAAGAACACACAAAAAGCAGUUUCUCAACCGUAAAAACAGAAAAGAAAACAUGACUUGCCAAAAGAAUAUAGACAGAAGGUGCCUAAAGCCUGUGCCUAUUUUCAUGCCAGUAGGGCCAAGUGAAGAGCAAAUAGAAAGUUGCUUCCGGCGUUUUGACACCAACGGAGAUGGCUAUCUUAGCAUUCAAGAGCUCAAGAACGCCUACAAAGCCCUAGGCAGGUCUUUCCCGCUCUGUCGAGCUUUGCGUGCGCUCUACAUUGCUGAUGAAAAUCGAGACGGAUACAUUAGCAAGAAAGAGUUUCACAGAUUAUUCAGAACUGCUUAUAUAUAAAUAACAGAGGUUGCCGUGGCAACUAGAAGUGUUUGUAGUUUCUCUUUUUCUUUUUUAGCGAAAAUGAAAUCCAUCUAUGAUUAUUGUUCAAGUAAUCAGCACCAGUGUGUUUGUAAAUUGGAUCUCCUGACACCGUUUUAGCGUGUAUGUAUGAUCCUGCAAUUAGAGUGGAUAUAAACUCAGAUUAUGUAUAAAUAAAGAUAGGUUUAUAUGUACUUUAUAUCGUAGUUUUGGUGUCUUUUUUUUUUUUUUUUUUUUUUUUUUUUGGUAUACCGUUUUGGUGUCUUUUAAUUUUACAUGUUAAGGGCCAAGUAAUCCUUUGAGGCAUUAUAUAUUUCUGUGUAAAAUGGCAAAUUUAAGCUUGAUGUAUAAAUUAAAUUCAUUUAUCACAUUUGUUAAUGCUUUUUCUUGCUUUUCAUUAUCUUACAUUUGGAGUAUGGAAUUAAUCAUACACCAAACAUAGGAUAUCUAUGCAUAUAAUCCACUGCAAUAAUUUUUUUUAUAUUUACGAUUUAAUUAAAACAAAAAUUAAAAAUAAUUGUCACAGAUAUUUAUAUGAUAUACUUUUAUUUAUUUAUAUACAAGUAAAUCUAUUCAUGAUUGAAUUUUGGAUUUGGUAAAUUUUAUAAAAGAUUUUUUGAGAAGAGUAAAUUUUAUAAAUAAUUAAGGCUUGAUUUCAUUUGUAAAAUCAGAGUUUCUUUUUGAAUUUAAUUUAAUCUUAUUCUUAAUUAUAGAUUUGGGAUUUUGGAUAGAUAUUUAAAAAGUGCAAUCUUGAUAUGCAUCCUCUUUUGUGUUUUUUAUUUUUUUUUAAUAAUUUUUGUGGGCUCAACUUUGCGACAAGAAUUAUAUUCUUGCUAAACAAAAUUGCUUGUUUAAUGUCAUUAUUACAUAUAAAUCUGUGAAAAUGAUUGAAAUCUUAGAAGAUGGGUAUCAUCUGUAUCAGUCAAAAUAAGCAAUUUUGACCAUCAGUCCCACUACGAAUAUUGAGAGUUACUUUUAGGAUAAAAAGUUCAUUAAGUGGGUUAUAUUUGUGUACUUCGAUUCUAAAGAAGUGACUAAUGCCUAUUUUGUAAUGGCUUUAACAAAAGGAAGAACAAAUUCUAUGAGCAGACAAGAAACUUUUAAUAUUUUUCCUAUAACAUGGCUAUCUUGUUCCCUUUGCCAUAUAUAUAUCAUUUAUUUUAAGAUUAGCUUUUUAAUUAACUUUCAUUAUUCAAAGAACCAUAAGUAAAAGCCACAAAAGAUCAAUCAAUAAUGCCAUAAAGUUUGAGAGAUACGCAAUUGUAACUAACUCCAAGGUUGGCCCUCGAGAUUCUCCAAACUAUAUUUACUUCGACGGAUAUUUUCAUUUUCGGAAAUGAUAUUCGAAUAAAAUUCCAUUAAUAUUAGCGAAUUUAUGUUUUAAUUUAAUUCCCUAAACUUACAAAUAACUUAGUAACAUUUUUUUGUAAAGUAUGAUAAAAAAUGUUUUACAAAAAAUGUGUUUUGCAAUAGUUAAUGUUAUUUUUUUUAUAGUAUUCGGUAAUAUAAUAUUUAAAUUAAUAAUGUUUUAUAAAAAGUUAACACAUGUAACACUUUAGUUUUUAGUAUUUAACAAUUUAGUUUUUAGUAUUUUAUAAAAAAUUGUUCAAAUUAAACAGCUAAUAGUUAAAACUAUUGAAACAGCUAACUGUUGAGAAUUUGGGCCAAUUAAUCAAAUCAAAUUCAAUUAUAUAUUUAAUAUUGGACUUAUAAUGAAUUGGACUUACAUUUAACGCAAAAUGGUCUAAGCCUUUUGACUAGUUCACCCUUUACAUUAUAUGUCAUUUUAGUUAGUUGUAUUUAUCCGAUGUGGGAUUACCCACAUACUCCAACACUAACACCUACCAAAACAACUAAUUCUACCGAACAAAUCCAAAGUAUUAAAAACCCCCCCACUUCCUUUGUCCUUUUAUGAUAAGUUGGAAUCUGUUACAGAUUGGGUGUUAGAUAAAGAUGUGCUCUAUAAAUACGACAGUACUAAUUACAAACAAGGCAAACCGAAAAACACCAAAAGAAACAAAACAAGUCUACUAUAUUAGACAUAUAUAUGGAUUUCUUAUCCCAUAGAGGAAUAGAUAAAAAUUGCCCUAGGACUUGCGUGAACAAGAAAGGUGUGGGCGGUGUUGUUCAUUACUCAGAAGAACAAUUGAUGAACAUGUUUAAAAGCUAUGACACCGAUCAUGACCGCCGGCUUAGCAAGCAAGAGCUCAAGAACUUGUUCAAUAAGUUGGGUUCUCGUUUUGCUGGCUGGAGAGUUUGGCGAGCUCUUCAUCAUGCAGAUGCUAAUAAAGAUGGGUAUAUAAGCGAGGAAGAAUUUUCCGAUCUUGUUAAGUAUAUUUUAAAAUGUGAUUACAGGAUUUAGUAGCCAUGUUUUCUGCAUCAAGACAAGUGAAUACGUUUUUACCUUCUUUUUUUAAGCAAAACCCUUCUUCUUUUUUUUUUUUUUUUUUUUUUUUUGGCAGUUGGUGUGGUCUUCAUGUACAGUUUCAUUUUCCUAAUUCUAGAUGUAAUCAUGUAGAGUGCUUUUGUGUAAUGAAAACUAGAGGAAAAUAAUUCCUGUAGCCUUUUUUUUUCCCCUCCCCCUUCUUUUCCCUCUUGAUGUUUGGAUAAUGUUUGGAUAAUGGAAGCGAAAGGAAAACGAUUUUGUGGAUAGUAAAAUUAUAAGUUUAAUUUUUUUUUUUUUUUUUUUGAAAAAAAAGUGCAAUGAACGAGGGUAAAAGUGUAAUUUCAUUAUUUUCCUAAAAAAUUGGAGGAAAAAAUCACAUAUGCCGAUCCUAUAAUAUAUUUUUCCUCUCAUAUUUUCUUCAUUCCUAAACGAAUCAUGGAGGAAGGAAAAUCUUUUGUAUUAUCUUCCUUUUCAGUUUUCUUGCCCCCGUAUUUUCCAUCAAUCCAAAUAUAAUAUGAAGGAAUUGGAUGCUCCAUAAAUUAACAAAGACAUGCACAAACUUAUGUGGUAGUAGUUAUUCCAUAUAAGGCAUGAAUAAUAAUUUUAUAAGAAUCUAUUAUUUAUUCGCACAUGAAAAUAUUUCCUAGUUUACACUUAAAAUAAGUUAUUAGCAAUACUAAUGUUUUACUAGCUUAAUUCUUCUGGAAUUUUUAAUUAUCAAAUCAAAAAAUAAAAAAACAAAAAGUGAUUUUUUUAAAUAUUGGGGAUGGAAAUUCGAACAUGGUAAUUAAUAAUUUAUUUUAAAUAGAUAUUUGUUCUCUGAAUAAAAAAUCAGUGCGUUAAAUUUUUAUUAGAAAAAUACUUAAUUAUUUUACUUUCAUUGUAUCCUUUAAAUAUGAUUAAUGCUAUUUCUUUCUAAUACAAAAUAUACAUCCAACAAUUGAUUCCUUAUGCUAAUAAAUUAUGUUUAAUAAAUAAAAAAAAUAAGCAACUAACACCAAAUAUAUAUCACAUUACUACAAACACAGCAAAAAAAACAAAACUACUGAAUGGAAAAAAAAAAAAAAAAUGGAAAUCAACUAUAAAAAUAUAAAAAUCAUGUUCCCCCCCCCCCCNNNNNNNNNNCCACCCCCCACAUUAUUGAAUUUAUUUCAAGGAAUCCAAUUUAUAGACUAGAGCCAAGAAAAGAAACUCUCGAAAUUGAAGGAGCUUCCAACUUUGGCAAAGAAUCCGCAUGAGGGUAGAUCCUCCGUAUUGCUUCGUGUUUCUCUAACGGGAUCACUUACCAUGUGGUAACUGGUAGCUGUAAUGCGGUUGUUCUUCCUUCAAAGGUUGUUUCUGAGAGUAUGUUUUCUUAUUGCCUAUAAGGUGUUUGUAUAAUUGCCUAGCUGGAGUGGAGUGUCUGUUAUGUUUUAUAACUUUAUAUUCUCUCUUCUUACAAGAAAAAUAAAAGAGAAUGGUGGUAAAUCGAGAAAAUAUUCAAAGCUACUUCAUUUUUAGCUGUUGAUCGUAACAAGUUAACAGAAAAGCUAAAGAAUAAAUACAUCAAGAACUAAAAUUCCUUUCAAUUUGCAAUGAGACUGUCCUUUUUGAAGCAAAAUCAAAAUUUUUUUGUACGGAGGACAUCGCAAGCUUCAGAAAAUCUUGCACAAAUAUAUUAAGGCUGCUCUGUGCUUUUGCUUGCAACGAUAGCAAAGGAUCUGCUUUCUAAAGGCAGUUCAAAGUCUUCAUUAGGCGUCUACAGGAUAAAUCCCCGUCCCACAAAUAUAAGUGUAUCUUCAAUUACCAUUGGAUGUCUCCUUGAGGGCUGAUGUAGGAUGUCCCCUUUGUUAUUCCUUCUUUCUUCUUCAAUAAAAUCUACAGGUUAAUUGUUUAUCUGGGUGCAAAACAAAGGAAUGAAGAUAUAUAGCUACGAAAAUUCAUGUGUUGGCUUAUGUAGUUAGUAUCUGGCAGAAUAUAGUAAAAAUCUAAUACUAAUCAUCAUUCGAACAAAAAAAGAUAUAUGUAUAUGUGUGUGUGUGUGUGUGUGUGUGUGUGUGUGUUACGUAACAAUGAUACAUCAAAAAUCAAAAUAUUCUAAUAGAUUAUAAUAAUUAAUUGAAAUUAUGUAGAAUGAAUCGAAGGUGUAUGCAAACACAAGGAAAAGGGAAGAAAAAAGGGAAUAAAACUCAAACAACUCUUUAUUCUGUUGUAUUAGUAUUACCUGUUAUUAUUUCACACUAAGUUUGGCUCUUGCAUGACCAUGUGAUAUUUGGAACUGUUCAGUUAACCCAAAAUGUGCCAUCAGGAGCCACACAUGAGUGAGAAGUUCUCCGCCCCGUCCCAACUGCUGAGCAUGAUUGGUUCCUCUACAGUGGCUGGCAGCAUAAGCCAGCAUUUCCACCCACACAUUACUCAGCACCUCCCACCUGUUUGGUUUUGGUAUGUUUUGCAGAUCUGAUGCUAGCCUGCAUGCAUCAAAUAACACAGACUUGCUUCUGUCUCCUUUUACUUUAACUGGAGGAACUACAGUGUUCACGUUAAGUAACGCACUGCAGGCUUUAAUUUCAUAUGGAUCGAAUGUUCCCUUUUUGAAAAGAUUGAUUGCCCAAGAACUAAUAUUAUUAUACUUUUGGAUACCAGAUGCUGUGGAUUUGUGCUCUUGAAAAAAUUUUGUUGCUUCAGUGCAAGUGUCUUGGUAUCUGAUCUUCCCGAUCCCCAUUGGCAACAUGGAAGGACGCAUAACCAGGAGAUACAACAUAUACUGCGACAAUGAUUUGCUUAUUUUUUUAAAGUCCUUGCCAUUAUUCUGUUCAUUUUUCCCACUUAGCACUCCAUUUUUGGGCUGAUUUUGCUCACUAGACACUUCAUUUUUAUGGUCACUUUGCACACUUUCCACUUUAGGUUUUUGCUCAUUUUGCCCACUCAACACUUCAUUUUGUUGCUCAUUUUGCCCACUCGACACUUCAUUUUGUUGCUCAUUUAGCACAAUCCACACUUCAGUUUUUUGCUCAUUCUGCACACUUGACACUUCAUGUUUCUGCUCAAUUUGCCCACUUGACGCCUCAUUUUUUUCCUCAUUCUGUACACUCGCCACGUCAGUUUUCUCCUCAUUUUGCACACUUGACUCUUCAUUUUUCUGCUCAAUUUGCCCACUUGACACCUCAUUUUUUUCCUCAUUCUGUACACUCGCCACGUCAGUUUUUUGCUCAUUUUGCACACUUGACAUUUCAUUUUUAUGCUCACUUUGCACACUCAACACUUCAGUUUUUUUCUCACUUUGCACACUCGCCACCUCAGUUUUUUGCUCACUUUGCACACUUGACACUUCAUUUUUAUGCUCAGUUUGCACACUUGGCACUUCAUUUUUAUGCUCACUUUGCAGACUCGACACUUCAGUUUUUUGCUCACUUUGCACACUCGACACUUCAGUUUUUUGCUCACGCUCACUUUCCAUACUUAGCACUUCAUUUUUUUGCUCUUUUUGCCCAAUGGACUCUUCAUUUUUUUGCUCAUUUUGCCCACUCGACACUUCAUUUUGUUGCUCCCCUUGCCUACCUUGAUCAUCAACUUUGAUUGUUAGCUUAUUCUCUUCAUUUUGUUGCUCCCCCUGCCUAUUUUCCUUAGAUUGCAUUAGAAUUGUAGCAAUGUGCCAAAUAAGAAUGCUUUGGUCAAACUCUACCUCCACACUCCAAAGCAAUUGAUUAAACUCGCGGAGGGCGUGACUCCCCCUAUACAUGCAGAUAUCUUUAAGCUCUUUCUGGUACUUCUGUUCUUCUGUGCUUGAUUUAGUCUGCAUGAGAUUGUCGAAUUUCUUCUUGAGAUGUUGAAAUAUGGAAUCUUUCAACUCAUCAGUGACUUCUUCCCAAGUCACAUGCUGGUAUUCUAGUAUUUUGUCAAUGCCAAAGAGCUUGUGGAUUUUGCUGUCGAUCAUCAUGGGCUGACAUGUGAGGCAAUAGCUCAAUAAACUAUAUUGCGGCAGGGAGUUUGACCAUCUCUGACGUCUACGCAGCUGUAGAGGAGUGAUUACUUGGCGAAUAACUCCUUUGUGCUUAGACAGAUAAAGAUCUGUCCAAUCUGAUGAGACUUGUAAAAGCAUUGCAUAUAGCUCAAGAAGAACAGCUAUAACCAGCAACAAGAAGGUUAUGGCUAUAUCAAUCUUGGAGCAUUUAUGCUUGCUGGAUAAAGAGAAAAAGACUAGUACAAUGCAGGUGGUGGCGAGAGUGAUGAACCGAAGCCAACAGCCCUUGCGUGUGUAAAUUAUUGUUCCUUUAGUGUAGAGCAAAUCAUACAUGAAUCCGAGUUCAAUCUCGACAAUUUUGAAAGCAUCUUGGCAGGAUAUUUGACCAAACAAAGACUGGCUAUUGUCUCGAUCCUGAAAACUGAGGAUGAGAUCAACAAAGAGACGCUUGAAAGUCUUGAAUAAGUAAUGAGCUUUAAGCAAUUCGGUUGCACCUUCAAAGGAAAUAUCCCCCAUGGAAGAAACAUCCACUGUGACUUGCCCCUCAACUACUUCAUCUGCUACUACAUAGAACCCUUCACAUUGCUUUAAAGUGAAUUCCUCCAUGAACUUGGAGUAAUUCGGACCGGGAUCUGGAGCUGUAAUCAUGGAAUCUCUCAAUUGCUCGUUGCUUGCUGUUCGAAGCGACCAUGUCCUCUCUCCAUAUUUGAUAAUUCCUGCCAAGAACAUUGGCAUGGUAAGAAUGGAGAAGCGAGAACUUGACCAGGCCAGAAGAAAUAUAUACAGUGCGACUCCUGUUUGUACUCCAAUCCCAAGAAAGUGUCUCAACCACAGUUCAUUGUCCUCCAAAGAAUAUGCAGUGAUAGUAUCAGGGCCACCCAAGUGCAGCAGAAGAAAUGGCGCCCAAAAUGCAGUAAGCUGUGUGUCUGCGUCUAACUUUGGUUUUUUACUCUUAUUGUCCUCGUACAGAUCUCCCAUGUUGUUCAAGAGCACUCCAAGAGCAACUGUAGCUACCCAAUCGGCCAUCAAGUAGGCACACCAUAACAGCACUCGAACCCAGGUUCUCCUCGAAUAUUUCCUACGAUUUCCAAAAAAGAUUAAUAGUAUCUGCAAGACAAGGCUGAGUAGAACCAGAACACGAAGCUCCCAUUCCUUCCACAAUUUCCUCACUGCUGGAGAAAAAAUUUCCAUGUCUAUUCUUGCCUUUACGUAAAUUAAGCCGCUAACAACUGAAAAUCGAGCGCAGGGUGUUAGAAACUUACAUAUAUAAAUUAACUCUGAAUUACAUUAAAUUGAGUAAAAGAAACAAAAUAGUACAUUUUUAAAAUAAUAAUAGAAGUGGAGAAAUAAUUACGUACCAGCUGGGAUCAUACUGCCAAAGUUGAAAACCUUGUUUCAAGCUAAAAUUUGGGCUUAAAAUGUAAUUUCCAUUCUUGGGUCUUGUUGGGUUGGCUGAAAUGAACAACACGAGUGCCUUACAAAUAGAAUGGAGCCAUUUUAAAUACAUAGGCUUAUCCACGUGUCACACGUUGGAAUAUUUGAAACUCUUCUGAUACGCAAUCGAUCAGUUACUCUGAGAUCUGUAAGGAUGAAUGAAUCUACCAAACAAGUCCAAUUUUAUAUGUCCCAGUCGCCAAAAUUUAACACAUGAAUACAGUCUUAUCCUUUAAAUAGUAGUUGUAAUUACUAAUUGAAUAAUUAGCCUGCUGUGCUGUAUCUAUUAUCAGCAAUUACAAUUAAAGAAAUUUCAGUAGAAAAAUUAAAAUUAUAUUAAACAUUGCUUGGAAACAAUUUAUAUUAAUUAGGGAAUUAAUGAAAAGAAACAAGAAAAAUUAAAAAUAUAUUAGUUAGGAAGAAUUUUUCAUUAAUUUAGGAAUGACAGAAUAAUAUUAAUAUAGAAUAAUACUUUCGAGUUUGUCUGUGAUUUCAAUUGCCCAACACCUAUCCACAGGGUUAAAUGUAAGUUGAACAUACAGCCUGUGAGGAAAAAAGGAACACAAGGAGAAAAGAAAAAAAAAAAAAAAAGGAAAAAGCAAAAGAAUAAAAGGAAAAUAAAGAACUCUCAUUCUUAACGUACAUAAUAAGAAAAUGAAAAGGAAACUAAUUAGAAUUUAAAGCUACGCUAAUGAGUGAACGGGCUUUGUUGAGGAAAGUAAUUCGAGUAUAGGUUCUUUAGUUGUACUUUUCUUGAACUAAGAAUCACGCCAUUGGCUUGGCUUCGGUCUCCCAUCUCUGAGAUAUCUCAGUUCGCAGGCUGAUUAAGAGGACGUAUUAAUUGUUCGUACCAUAUAAGUAAUUGUUUCUGUAUAGAAUAUGAAAUUCAUAUCAUUUAGUUGUUGAAAUUUUGGAAGGAAGAAUAGAAAUGCACGUGAUGAUUAAAAAUGUUUAACAUUUCAUUGAAUUAAUAAAAGGAUAUGCCUAUUUAUAGGCUUAUAAGCGAAUCAAAUAAGACCUAAAAAUACUCCUAAAAAUCACUAAUCCUAAUAACAAAAACAUCAAAUUCUAUGCAGAAAAUCUGCACUAAAUAAAAUUGAAAUUUCAAAAUAUUUUUAAUAAUAUUAUUUUGAAUUAAUCCUAACAUUCUGUGUUAAUUCAAACAUAAUAUUUUUUAUUACAAUAAUUAACAAUUAAAAAUUUUUAAUCUAGAAUUUGAAGCACUUCUCUUCCAUUAACUUUGUUGAAGCGCCUCUUUCCAACUCAUUAUUUUGAUACACUUCUCACCAAAAUUUUGAUGCAUUUCUCAUCAAACUAGCAAUUUUUUUUAACUUUUUGAAGCACUUCUCUUCAAAUAUUGAUACACUUCUCAUCACUUUUCUUUUAUUUUGGAGCACAUCUCUUCAAUGUUCUCUUAGAAUAUAUCUCUCCAAUACUCAAAAAGAGUUUCUUCCUUUGAUACCAAGGUAUGACCCAACACGGGAACUUCCCUUAUGGUUCGGAUCCAAGGAAGGCUCUGAUAUCAUGUUGAAAUUUUGGAAGGAAGAAUGGAAAUGCACAAGAUGAUUAACAAUGCUUAGCACUUCAUUUAUUUAAUAAAAGGAUAUGUCUAUUUAUAGGCUUACAAGUGAAUCAAAUAAGAUCUAAAAAUAUUCCUAAAAAUCAUUAAUCCUAAUAAUAAAAAUAUCCAAUUCUAUGCAGAAAAUCUGUACUAAAUAAAAUUGAAAUUUCAAAAUAUUUUUAAUAUUAUUAUUUUGAAUUAAUCCUAACAUCAGUUAGGAUUAAUCUUUGUAUUUUUGUCGACCAAACGAAGGAAUUUGACAAAUCCAAGAAAUAUUUAAAUUUUUCCGAGUAAGGUUAUGAACUAUGCUAGAAAAAUAGAUAAAUUGGAGGGCUCAAGGGAAUAAUUUCAAAGCAAACACAUUUAUAUUACAACAGAAACACACUUUUAUAAUUACAACAACUGGAAGACAGAAUAAUUAGAAAAAUACAAUCACAAAUGGAGCAAUAAAAAACAAGCAAUUAGAAAUUGUCCAUCAUUUUAAAUUUACCAGUUGAGAAAGAAAUCCCCAUUUCUCUUAUUUAACAUUAAUUUCCAAUUAUAAGCACACUUCCAUUUGGCUGUCUUAUCACUUUUGCAUUUAAGAUUGUCCUUCUGACAGAUAGCUCUGCAUCAAAAUAUAUGUUACAGCAGAAUUUUUUAGAAAGCAUUUAAGGAGCAAAUUGUUCUUAAGACAAGAAGAAAUGAAAUGACUUAACAUUUAUAAGGGGGAAAAUGUAAUUAAAGAGAAAUAACAAAAACUUACUGGCAGAGGAUCGAACUUCCAAUUGUUUUUUGUAAUCUUCACAUUCCUCUCCUUCAUGGUGCUUUCCAUUUCUGCUACAAAAUCUUCAGACAUAUUCGUGAGAAUCAAUUCCUUCAAGGAGUUCAGCUGCUGCCAACCACUAGUUUCCUUCAGUUUAUCGCAGCGUCUAAUUUCUAGUUCUCUAAGGCGAAGCAUGGAACCUUCCUGCACAAUCCACUUCUCCAAUUCCUCUAGCAUCCACAGUUUCAAGACUCGGAGUUCUGGAAACCCUUUAGCUUUACAAGUCAUCUCCUUCCCUAUGUAGGAGCGAGCAAAAAGUCUCAGGAUUUUCAGUUGAGGUAGUUCCCCUAGAGUUUGCAUUGGAUCCUCGGUUAAAUUUGACACGGAUAGAGUAACCAUCUUGAGAUUUUUGGGAAGCUGAAGGUGUUCAAUUUUCUGUGAUAAUUUUCCAAGCAGAUACAAUUCUGAAAGACGAUCAUGUUUGUUCAUGCUCUCCAACUUGAGUUCUGAAGGCCUGCUAAAUUCAUCUAUAGACCUUAGCUUCAAAGAUCUAAGUUCUUUACACUUAGAAAUCCAAGGACUUAUCUGCUCAAGUGAUUUGAAAUGGAAUGUGAGUCCGAGUUUCAUUAGACGAACCAAACUAUUCAACCAGUCUUCUCCAGGGCUUUUUUUGCCUAUUAUUAACCCCCACAAAGUCAAUAGGUUGCCCAAGGAACCACUACCUAAUGGCUUUUGGAAGGACACAUUUAAAUAUAUUUCGUUCAUAUAAAGAUGUCGAAGCUUCUUUGAGUUCCAAAUAGAAAUAGGCAAGGAGUUUAUGUUUGUGUGCUUCACAUCCAGUAUUUCCAAAUUAGGAAGAUCACCAACAGAAUUUGGGAUUGAAUCUAGAAAAGUCCAUCUUAAGCCUAGGUAAGUCAAAUGUACGAGUUUUCCUAUUGCUUGAUCAGAUAAAACUGGUUUAUAGACAUUUUCUAGAUCAAGUACUGUAAGCAAUGAAAAGCCUCGUUUUCUAAUCAUCAUGGUUAGAAACUUAUCAACUUCAUCUGCAGGUGUAUCGCCUUUUCGGGUGUUAAAAGAUAUAUAAGAACGUAAAUUAUCAAUGUCUAAUGGAGAGCUACUGAUGUCUACAUAUGCGGCAACUCUCCUUAUACUAUAGGUUUGCUGAUAUUUUGAGCUACGAAUAACAUCAUAAAAUCCACUGUCUGUCGCAUUUGGGAACACAUUAUCAUAUAGGAUACCUGGCACACGACAUGUUCUGGGACUUCCAUCCAAUCUCCAUCUUGCAACUUCUAUCAUGUUCCUUGUGAUCAGUGCAUUCAAAUAACGCUCAACCAAUUCUUCAGGGGUUUUACCUUUUACUGAUGCAUCCUCCAAUUCUUCAGGGGUUUUGCCUUCUAAUGAUUCAUUGACCAGUCCUUCAGCAGCCCACAAAUGGAACAACCUCCGUACGGGGAUCACAUAUUCUUUCGGGAAAAUGCCUAAAUAAAGUAGACAUAGCUUUAGGGCUGAUGGAAGUUCCUGGUAGGCCAAAGCUAAUAUAGCUUUGGAGGGGUCAUCACCAAAACUUAAACGCUCAACUCUAUCCUUCCAACUCCCUGUAUCUUUGGUAGAUAAAAGACCUCCCAGCACAACAAUUGCAAGAGGCAAACCACUGCAUUUUUGCCAUAUUAGCUCCUUUAAUGAUGCAUCAACUAAGCUUUCUUCAGUUUUUGGUACUUUCUUCAAGAACAAUUUCCAGCUUUGAUCAAUGUCUAAAUUGGGUAGCUCAAUAGGAGUGGAUCCUUGAUCGUUCAUCAAUUCUGCUAUUUUUUUGUCGCGAGUGAUGAAAAUCAGCCUGCUGCCAUUUAAUGAGUUUGGAAAUGUUCGUUUGAGGUUCUCCCACAUAACAUCAGUCUUGACAUCAUCUAAGACUAUUAGGUACCUCUUGCGAAAAAAGAAAUCACGGGCCUUCUCUUCCAAUUUAUCAGGUUGCAACUUCUCCUCAUCUUUGAUUGUUGUAACUAGCUUCAAUAUGUCAAUUAUAAGAUUUUUCAUUUUCUGCUCAACAGCAUCAGAAGCAACUGAUUCUGGGAACUCUUCAGACAAAUUAACCCAAGCACGUAGUUGAAAAUGCUGCACAACAUUGGCUUUGUUAUAAAUAUUCCUCACAAAUGAUGUCUUGCCAGAUCCAGCAGCACCCACCACCGAAAUAAGAAAACGCAAUUUACGGCGGUUAAGUAUAGCUUGUUCUAACUUUUCUGCUUCGCUUUCUCGCCCAACGAACUCUGAUUCGUCAUCUGAACGAUCUGCAAUUGUGCCCAAUUGCUGGGGUGGUGCUCGUCUUUCUUUUGAAAUUGCUCCAGCUUCAGCUGAAUCGGUUGGUGUUUUAUUUUGCAUGCUUUCUUUGUCUGCUGCAAUCUCUUUUUGAUCAACAUCAUUGCUUUCUUGUGCUGCUUUUGAAAUUAUUCCAGCUUCAGCUGAAUCAGUUAGUGUUUCAUUUUGCAUGCUUUCUUUGUCUGCUGCAACCUCUUUUUGAUCAACAUCAUUGCUUUCUUGUGCUGCUUUUGAAAUUAUUCCAGCUUCUGCUGAAUCAGUUGGUGUUUCAUUUUGCAUGCUUUCUUUCUCUCCUGCAACACCUUUUUGAUCAUCAGUAUUGCUUUCUUGUGCACCCUCAUCUUUAUUUUCUACAGAUUGUCUUUCUUUAUAUUCGAUAAUGCGUUUGUCAAUCUCCUCUGUCAGUGACCGCAUUCUUCGAACUAGAAUUUGGCUCUGCACGGGCAUGAAUUGGCUGAAAACACGUACUUUACCAGAAAUUUUUUGUUUCUGCAAUGUCGUUUUUACAAAGAAGGUAUCAAUCGUGUCCUCUAGUGAGUAAAUCUCCUUCAGAGGGUUCCUCUCCAAAUUUUCAUCACUGAUAUUUUUCUGGCUGUUUGUCAGCAACUUCUGAACACUUCCCAAUGUCUCCUUGGUAUUCUCUAUUUGGCACUUCAAUCUUGGAUUAUUAACUUCUUUAUCUUUGAGAGCUUCUAGUUUUUGCAAAAUAAGGUACACUGCUAGUGCUGUAGACAUGACCGCAGAUUGCUUGCCUCUGCUUCUUCUUUCUCAGAAAUAACACAAUUCACGACUUGGUCAGACUUUUUGAGUGAUUGGCGUUAUGUUUUUGGAGAAUUGUUAGACAACAAAGAAUAGAAUAGGAAAUGUAAGACUGAUACUGCUAAUAACUUGGCCAAGUUAAGCUUUUGAUGGCUUAUUUAUUUAUUUAUUGGUUUAGCAAGUUUAAAAUCUCAUUUUCAAUAGAGAGAGAGAGAGAGAGAGAGCUACAGUAUUAUUAUACUUUACUUUUCUUAUGACUAUUUAAAAUUGAGGAUUCUUUCUUUUUAAUUAUCCAAUGGAUAACUUGUCUUGUAUUUUUUAAUUUUGAAUUUAGAAUAAAAAAUAUAUAAGAUACCUUAAAUGAGAUAGAAUUCAACUGCCUAACAUUCACGAAAAAGGAUAAAAUAAAAAUAAUUUUUUAAAAAAUUCUUAUUUUCAUUAGUUUGGUACAUAGAUGAAACUGAUCUAGAGAAGUAUUUUCAAAAGGGAAUAAUUGAUCAAACCCUAGUUAGUUUUGAUCCUUUACCUCUCGGUCUUUCACGCACAAUAAAAAAAACAAAGCAAAAGCUCAAAUUUUGCCUUGGUUUUACAGGCAGGUACAAGAUGCUUUACCCUUGCGUUAUUAAGACAUGCUACUUAUUUUCUUAAUCAAGUCUUUUUGUCAAUUCCGUGAACGUAGGUUCCACUUGUCGGUCCUACAAAAUGGAGAAUUAUACAAGGUGUUAGUGCACAUCUACAUUUAUCAAUUUCAAAUUCUUUCAACAGGGUAAAUUAUACUUUCCUAGAUAAUUGAGAGAGAAAAAUAAAAGUGCAAAAAGAAUGGAAGAACUCAAGCCUCAGGUACCAUUCAUAGUAGCAAUAAAAGAUCAUCCAGGAUCUAUAGGCAGCAGGAAAAUAUCACAUGAAUUAGCAGAGUUCGUACGAUGUCCUCUUAUUAAUGAAAAUGAUAUCACCCAAACCCUUGAAAAAAUAUCCAUUCCAACCCCCUCAAGUUCAACCAUAACUCAAACUUCUAAUGAGCUUUCAGACAAUUUACCUUUUGAGAUUGUUUCUCAAAUUGCCUUAACCCAACUCAACUUGAAGUUCAAUGUUAUCAUCAACAUAUUGCUAUUCAAUGAUACCCGUCUCAAUAAAUUGAUUGAAUUGGAGCAUUCUGGGAAGGCGCGCUUGAUCAUUAUUCAAGGCGAAAGCAAUAAUCAUCAAGAUUAUUAUGACAGUGGUCAUAUCUUGAAGGUAAGCAUCGAAAAAGAGUCAUUUAAUGUGAAUGAAGUUGUCACCAAAAUGUAUAAUUUACUAGAUGGUAUGAGAGAAAAUGCAAAGAGUCACAACAAACUUAUCAGACAACCUAUAAAUGACCAUUUGCAUGAAUUAGUUUUAUCCAAAGAGCCAAGAACAAACAAAAUCCUAUGCAGAAGUUGCUCAAAACUUAUUUCUGGUCUCUCUUAUGAAUGUGCAGAGUGCAAUGAGUUCACCUUUCAUAAAUUAUGUGCAGAGUCGUCCCCAGAUGUAAAGAAUUGUCCUCGUUGGUUAAGGAAAAUGAAGCCAAAGCAAUAUGACUUCCAAAAGACAUAUAAAUGUAAUAACUGUGCAGAAUUUUCAGAAGAUUGUUAUGAUUGUCUCUUCCAAACCAACGUCAAACAUGGAUUUUUGCCGACUAUUCUUCAUCAGCAAAGACAUCAACACUUUCUUAAUUUCAUUAUCAUGCCCUUCCAGUAUAAUUAUCAAUAUAAAUGCUGUAUUUGUGAUAAACUGGGCAGCUCAGUUAGCUACAAAUGUUAUGAUUGCAACUAUGAUGUUCAUGUCAAGUGCAUAUUACCAAGCACUACUUGGAUGCGUGGGAAUGAUUAUUCCCUUGUCUCUGCGUCGUCGUAUCAUCAAGAUGAGUUGGAAAAGUAUAAUUGUGAUAUCUGCCAUGAAAAAAUAGAAGCGAGCCAACUAUUAUAUUGGUGUGAAGAACAAGAUUUUAUUCAUGCGGGCAAAAUUAAAUAUUUUACUGAUCAAAACAAAAAUUUACCCAUUCAUGUGAAGUGCAUGCCUAGUGUUAUUGAAGAAGAGAGUAUUGAUCGGGAAGCUAUUGAAUUCAUCAAGAUGGAGCAUAAGAAUUUUGAGUUAUCGAAAUGGAAAACCUUUAAGUUGCAUUAAUUAAUUAUUAUCAGGGUUUGGUAUAUGUCAGUUAACCAGAGAUUGCUACUGAUUGUUAACACAGCUAUUUACUUAUUUGUGGGUUUGGUCUGGUUUGUAUUCCUGCAGCAGGUUAAAAUCAUUCAUUUUUAUAUUAUUUGUCACAUUUGAAGUAAAAUGAUUUAAUAAUAUUGUGUUUUUCUUUUUUUUUUUUUUUUUUUUUUUUUUGUUCUUUUCAUAUAGUAGCUAAGCUUAAUUAACUACUCCCUACAAGUAUUGUAAUUUGAUUGCAGAGAAACUUCCAAUUUGUAAUUGUAAUGUUCUUAUGAACCGUGUAGGUCAUACAUGGACUUACAAGUUGUAAUUUAUCACACAAUUAGCAAGCUAAAUAGAGUUAUUUAUUUAUCAUUCCUAGAUCUUUGAAAAACAGUAGAAAGAAAAAUAUGUGCAAAAAAUAAAAACAGCAGGUAAACUACACAAAUUACUAUUAGAGGGUGAAAAGUGCAAUUGAAUACAGUUAACAAAUCAAAAUUAUAAGAAAAAGACAAUUUUUUUUGGUAAUUCUACAAAAUACAUCAUAAAAAAGAUAUCAGAAUAUAUAAAGUUGAGAAUACAAUCGGAAAAGAGAGGAACCCUUCCAAUCCAGAAAAGUAGAACAGAAAAUGCAAGGGGUUGAAUCAAAUAUAUUCUAGGAGAUAAGUAGGAAUAAUAAUGUAUAAGCAACUGUAGGGACAUAACAAAGAGUUCUACGUACGUAAACUCUAUAUAAACCCACAUUUCCUGAAUUGAAAUAUCAGAAAGCAAGGGAGCCAUUGUUGCUAUUAGCCAAGAACUAGUAGCAAGUUAUUUGGGUUCUGAGAGUAUGCCUCGUCAACCUUAUAUUGCUUAUAAAGGAAACGUUCCUCAGCCUAUUUUAAGUGAAGAGCUUAUAAAGGAAAUUAUUAAGAGAUGUGACAUCAAUCAUGAUAAUAUUAUCAGCGAGGAAGAGCUAAUCAAAGCUUUUGAUGAACUUGGUUCGAGGUUCCCUUGGUUUAGAGCCCAGAAGGCCAUGGCUUGUGCUGAUUCCAAUAAAAAUGGACAAAUCGACUCCGAUGAGUUGGAUCAAGUCGUCAAAUACGCUAGCAAGCAAGGAUACCAAUUCAAGAAGUCACAAAAAGCUUAUUUGAAUUGAUGUAAUUAGUAAUAUCCAUGUAAGGUGUUGCUUAAUAAUAAUUAGCAACUUUUCAACUUGCUGUUAAUUAAUAUUGGAGUUACUUUUGGGUGUAAGGUUGUAAGUUUAAAUUUUCCCGAAAUCUAAUUUUAGAAAAAAAAAUUUAGCUUUUCUUUUUCUCCUUUGAUAACACUGUGAAAAAACAUCCAUUCAUUGUGCAUGUAUAAGACAGAAUCUAUUCGGUUUUUUUUUUUAAAGAUAGUAUAAAGUUGGGAAUAAUAUAAAGGGUGCAAGGACCAAUAAAGAGAGGCCUAUAUAAGCGCAAGCUUCCACUCCAACAAACUCAUAUUGCAAUAGCUUUAAGCUCCGUUUAUGGCUACCCAUUUGGUUCAAGAUAAUAAAUGUAUGAAUAGUAAAGCCGUGCCUCUAACCGAACAACAGAUACGAGAAAUUAUCAUCAGCUGCGAUUCCAAUCAUGACAAUCUUCUCGACAUGGAUGAUCUAGAGAAAGCCUUUCGUCAACUGGGUUCAAAGCUCCCUGGUUUUAGAGCCACCCGUGUUAUGAGGUACGCCGAUGCCAACAGAGAUGGACUCAUCGACUUGAAUGAACUUAACGAUGUCGUUAAAUAUGCUAGACGACAAGGCUACUCCUUUAAGUGAAAGGUUUUUCCAGUUCAAUACGAUGUCGUUAAAGCUCUGGAAAAUAAAAUAAAUGUGUCGUUAAAGCUUUAUUUGCUGUCGUAUAUGUAUCCAAUAAAGAGCGGAUAGAUAAAGAUAACCCUCUGCUUCGUGACAUUUAUUACUUCUAUGAACCAGUACUUAAGUCAUUUACUUUUUUUUCAUGAGAAAUAGAGGUUAAUUAAACAAAAUCUGGAAAAACAAUCAUUAAUGAGACUUUUUUUUUGGUUAAUUGUGUGACUAUUGUUUAAACCUAUGUCUUCUUAAUUUAAAAAUCAUCUGUCACUGUUUAGAACUUGUUUUGUCUAAAAUUAUCAGCAAUUUUAAUAAAAUUAAUUUUUUUUUAAUUUUACUCUUAUUUCUAUUAACUACAAUAGUUAUGUUCUAUAAUUUUCUAAAAUUUAUUUUAUCACAUCCCUUUUAUCUCUUUUACUUUUAGUGGUAGAUAAUUAAAUGGAGAGAUAAUUAUUAAUAAGCAAGAAGUCAUGAACUCAGUCUAGAUAAAUUUUUCUCAUCAGAGCAUUUAAAUGAGAUAAAUGGUAGUUUAGUCAAAUUUAGGCUGAUUUGUUUUUGUUUAAGUGAUUUAAUUAGAUUACACUUUUAUAUUCACUAGAGUAAUUAUUGUUGGCUACAUAAUAGAUAUAGCUUUCUCCUUGUCUCAUUAAAUUGGUGAGAACUUAAUCGAGAUUCUUCAUAUUAAUGAAAAGACUAAUUAUCAAACUAUAUCUGAUUAGUGAAUUGAUGACUUUUUAAUUAUUAUGCAAAAAACUUAAAUGACGGAGAAAAUAAAAAUGAACAGACGAUUAGACAUGAUUUAACUACGAAUAAUUGUCUGUAAACUAGCAUUAUCUCUAAAUCCUGCAUCAUGAUUAUUACGUAAGGCAUCUGAUGUUUCUUGAUGGUUUAAUGCCUAAUUAUCAUGUUAUUCUCUGUGGUUUAAACGAUUCCUCCUAAUUAAAGGGAGAACCAAAUAUUCGUACAACUGCUUGGUAUGAAUUGGAUGAUGAAAAAAGCAAACCAUUUUGUGAAGGAAAUACAUGCAAAAGGAAUCUUAAGUCCUUUGAUGACAAAAGAAUAAGAAUCAGUCAAAGCAGAAAGGAACUGUUUCUUUGGUACUAUCUGGAGAUAAAGAUGCCUGUUAAGUAAAGAUAAAAACGAAUCCCUUGUUGCAUAUUUAAGUCUCUUUAUCUCAAUGAUAAAGAGAUGCUUAUUAAAUAUCUAGACUACUAUUUCAUGCUUCAUGUUUACUGCUACUCAGUAUAUCGUUCCAUAAUAACUGAAUUAUACUAAAACUUUUUUAUAUAUAAGAGGAUCUUAGGCCUCUGUUUCACUAAUUGCCGUAGUUCUUUUUUUUUUCGCUGUAAUUUUCUUUCUAGCAGUAAUAAUACUUUUGUGUCUGUGGGUGUUCAAACUAUCAAAUAUUGUUCUUUUGUAAUAUAUAUAACCAACCAUAAUAAAAAGUUUGUACGUGAAUUGCUUACAACCUACAAAUGUUCUGGAUAUUAUUAGAAUAAUAACACAGUAAUAAUAUAUAUAUAUCUCAAAAGAUUAUGGGUUUAAACCUCAUAUAUAAUAUGCCAACCAAAGAGAGAAAAUUGAUUGGACUUUGCCGCUGCAUGUUUCACAUAAUAUGAAGAUUUUUUUUAAAAAAAAAGUUACAAGAAAGAAUCAACAUAUAUCUCCUGAAGAUAACUCAGAGUAAUGUGGAUAAUAUAAGGUGUCAGUAUACAACAAUUAUCUUCUAUAUAAACCCUAAACUGCUUCUAAAUUCACAUUCAGAGCCCAGAAAUAUCUUAGUCAUACUAGAAAAUCAAGGGAAAGGAUGCCCAGCGGCCAAACCUUGAGUGAAGAGCGGAUAAGGGAAAUUUUCUUGCAAUUUGCUGCAGACAAGAACAAUGUUCUAAGCAGAAAAGAGCUAAAGAAUGCAUUCAAAUACCUGGGUGCAAUGUUUCCUACUUUUAGAGCAUUACUCGGGAUCUACCGUGCUGAUGCGAAUGGGAAUAGAAAAAUUGAUUCCGACGAAUUGGAUGAUCUCGUCAAGUAUGCUAAUUCACUUGGUUACACUGUUAAGGGUUAAGUAGAAAUUAAAUCACCAAACUAGGAUAUUAAUCUGAGUUCUAUGAUAAUUUCCCUUGUAUGGCGACCGUGUAAUGUGAUUUUCUUUUUUUCUUUUUGUUUUUUAGGGUAUAAUGAAGUGAGAUUGUGCAAUCCUUGUAAUUUUAUCGAUAUAUUAAUUAAAAUUAGAGAAUGUUUGAAUAAUAAGUAAUACAUUCUCCUUUCAUUAUUAUUUACAUAACACUUGCAUUUUUUUUUUUUUUAAGAACUAAAGGAGGAGAAUUCAAAGAUAAAUGUAUUGUCAAAUCAUAUAUAUGGUAAAUGGUGUAAAUUUCAAAGACAAAUUUAUGCAUUAAGUCAAUUAAAAAUGGAAAUUCAUAGAUUCAUAGAGGCUAGCCCAUUUAAGGAAAAUAAAAUCGGUUGGAAAAUGCUAAAAUUGGAACUAAUCGAUUUUAAGCUGUUUUUAGUUUCAAUUGUUGAAUGUCUUGAACUGCCGAUUCAGUUCAGUGAAUCAAAAUUGUCUUUUAGUUAAACAUUCAAACUAGCAAUAAAAAAUUUUAAAAAAAAUCAAUUAAUGUAAAGAAGAAAAUCAUCAACAUAAAUUAAUUAUAAGCUUUUGCUUCUUUCGAAAAAAAAACAUAAAAUAAUUAAUGAUUUUAAUUUUCAAAGAUGAAAAUAGAAAACAUAGUUGUUAGAAUCUCAAAUACCAAACCAAGAUAUGGUUAAUAAAUUGACAGUGAUUUCAACUGCGGUGUUAUGUUGGAUUUUACCUUACUCAUUUUAUCAUUGAAUUUUAAUAAUUGAACUCUUCCGAUUAUAUCCUUUUCAAAUGAGAAUUAAUCAAAUAAAAUUGAAUUGAAGUUUUGAAGUUUCAACCAAACUCAUGGAGUACUAAUUGUACUGUUUACUGAGGUGUUGAUUUUGAACAAUAUAUAUAUAUAUAUAUAUAUAUAUAUACAAGACAAGAAAGCAAAAGAAAGAAGAGAAGAUGCCAAAUCUGUAGACAUGCAAGUGCCAUAUGUAAGGUUCGGUGUGCGUGUAUAUUUGAUUAGAUGAAAUUCAAAAUAACAUGAAAUUCAAAAUCAAAUUAGUAGAUGAUUUUCAAUUAAACAAAUCGAAUCCUAACUAUAACUAGAGUAGAAUAUAAAGUAGCAAGCGCACGUGAAACUCAAAAGACACCAUAUAUUCCAGUCCAAAAGGUUCUUCCAUGACUAUACAGAUUUCAGAUUUUGGUUCUGGUCCGAUCCUUCACAUGCAAGACAAUACUUUUUGAAGAAGAUAAUUGGAAUAUAAUAAUGCAGGCCUAACUAUAUAAACCCCUCAUCGUCAUAAAACCAUAUUAUACCGAAAAGGAUCUUGUUUCUUAUACACCUGUUUUAGAAGAACACCAUUCCUCGUGUGAUCAUUAAUCAUCAUUAUCAUAAAACUAAAGGUGUUCCUAAAAUUUUAACUGAAAAUGAGCUGAAGAGGAUCUUCAUGCAAUUCGAUGUGAAUCGCGACAGUGUUCUUAGCAAAGAAGAGAUAAAGAAAGCAUUUGAGUAUCUUGUGUUGGAUAUCAGCUCAGUGAUAGACUCUAAGAUUGAUUAAUAAUUUAUAACACUAAAAAUAAUAACGGGAAAGACAACCAAAAUAAUACAAACACAAAACACCAAAUAAAAUUGUAUUAAUAAGAAGCAAACGUUCACAAAGUUUAAGGAAAUGAUUACUUACUUGGUUUUUGCUUGGUGCUUGCUUGGUUAUAAAUGAGAGGAGGGGUGGUAUUUAUCGACAUUUCUACCUCCUCAAUGUACGGCUAAGAUUUAUUUACAAAAAUGGACAGUCUAGAUUACAAAGAACUUUUUAGAGUUAGGUAAAAUAUUUUCAUUACAUCUCAUUUAUGGAGAAUUGUGGAGUAUUCUAGAAUGUGGGCUUAGACCUUCAACUUUGGGCUGGAGGCUUCCCAAGUCUUGGUCCAUUAUGGCAGCCCAAUUUAGGUUGUGACUUUUCUAAAUUAAUCGGUGAUAUUUUAAUACCCUCCCUCAACGAUUAAUUUCUCUUUCUUCAUCAUUCCCAACUGUUGGCGAAAAUCUUCAUAUUUGUUUGCGUUUAAACUCUUUGUAAAGAUAUCGGCUAAUUGAUCCUCCGUCUUGAUAUAUUUUAUUUUAAUCUCUCCUUGUAGAACCUUCUCUCUGAUAAAGUGAUAGUGAACCUCCACGUGUUUUGUUCUCACAUGAAACACCGGAUUCUCAGCCAUUUGUAUAGCCGAACGAUUAUCACAAUUUAACGGAAUUGGAUAGUCGAUGGGUUGAUGCAGAUCGUUCAUAAGCUGUGAUAACCAAACACUUUCUUGAGCUGAUGUUGCUGCUGCCUGAUACUCAGCUUCUGUUAUGGAAAGUGACACUGUAGGUUGUCUCUUGCUACACCAAGAGAUUACUCCUGAACCAAGACUAAAUGCAUAGCCUGUUGUCGAGCGCCGAGUGUCUUGAUCUCCUACAUAAUCAGCAUUGCAAUAUCCUUCCAACUUGAUAAUUUCACAUCUCUUGUAAAAGAUCCCAUAAUCGAUGUACUUUUGACAUAUCUCAAUAUUCUUCGAACUGCUUCCAAGUGAGGUUUCUUAGGCUUCUGCACAAAUCGGCUAACUACUCCAACUGUAAAGGAAAUGUCCGGCCGCGUCAUAGUGAAAUAGAUUAAGCUUCCCACUAGUUGUCUAUACAUAGUAGCAUCUUCGAGAUCAUUUCCUUCAUGAGCACACAACUUGACAUUGGCAUCCAUUGGAGUAGAUAUUGGCUUGCAUUCCAUCAUUCCAAACCUCUUCAGUAGAUCUCUUGCAUACUUCUGUUGUCCGAGGAACAAACCUUCCUUGGCUUCUUCUAUCUCCAAUCCAAGAAAAUGCUUGAGCUUUCCUAGCUCUUUCAUUUUGAAACGAGUAGCCAAAUUCUCUCGGAUGAGUUGAAUCUCUUCGAUGUUAUCCCUAGUGACUAUUAAAUCAUCAACGUAUACUAGCACUAUAGCUAGUCUUCCUUCCCGAUCUUUUACAAAUAAACUGGAGUCUGCUAGUGCCAUAACAUAUCCAUUCUUGACAAGGAAUUCUGCAAUCUUGCCAUACCAAGCCCUCGGUGCUUGUUUUAGACNNNNNNNNNNNNNNNNNNNNNNNNNNNNNNNNNNNNNNNNNNNNNNNNNNNNNNNNNNNNNNNNNNNNNNNNNNNNNNNNNNNNNNNNNNNNNNNNNNNNNNNNNNNNNNNNNNNNNNNNNNNNNNNNNNNNNNNNNNNNNNNNNNNNNNNNNNNNNNNNNNNNNNNNNNNNNNNNNNNNNNNNNNNNNNNNNNNNNNNNNNNNNNNNNNNNNNNNNNNNNNNNNNNNNNNNNNNNNNNNNNNNNNNNNNNNNNNNNNNNNNNNNNNNNNNNNNNNNNNNNNNNNNNNNNNNNNNNNNNNNNNNNNNNNNNNNNNNNNNNNNNNNNNNNNNNNNNNNNNNNNNNNNNNNNNNNNNNNNNNNNNNNNNNNNNNNNNNNNNNNNNNNNNNNNNNNNNNNNNNNNNNNNNNNNNNNNNNNNNNNNNNNNNNNNNNNNNNNNNNNNNNNNNNNNNNNNNNNNNNNNNNNNNNNNNNNNNNNNNNNNNNNNNNNNNNNNNNNNNNNNNNNNNNNNNNNNNNNNNNNNNNNNNNNNNNNNNNNNNNNNNNNNNNNNNNNNNNNNNNNNNNNNNNNNNNNNNNNNNNNNNNNNNNNNNNNNNNNNNNNNNNNNNNNNNNNNNNNNNNNNNNNNNNNNNNNNNNNNNNNNNNNNNNNNNNNNNNNNNNNCGAGAUACUUUGUUAGGAGAAGUUCCUCUCUUUAUAUAGAGUUCUUGAAGGCUAGUUUGACUCCUUUUAGGAAAUAGAAUCCUUAUUUAGUGCAAAAUCCUUUAUAGGAGAUCAUGACUGUUUAGGUUCUUGAUUUCUNNNNNNNNNNNNNNNNNNNNNNNNAGAAUAGGUCCAGGUCUUGUUUAGUGUGUUUAGGAAACUCCCUGAAGUCGGCCCAUGUGAGAAAAAGCUUGAUUUGCGCAUUAAAUUCUCGCUGGUUCCGCCUGUGCAGCACGGGCGUGUUUCCUGGCACGGGCUGGGUGUGCUUUAGUCUGGAAGUCUGGCCAGUGAAGCACGGGGCGUGCUAGGUAGCACGGGCUAGUGAAGCACUGAGGCACGGGCGUGUCACUUAGCACGGGAAGGGCGUGCUUCUCUCUGGAUGUUUGCCUAGAAUUGUCAUGGGCAUGCUAUGCUUGACACGCCCUGGUCCCAUUGUAGCACGGCCGUGCCUUUUGGCACACCCUGGCCGUGCUCUCUUCUGUCUCUCCUUUGGUUUCCUUGGCUUCUAGCACGGUUGUGCUUUUUAGCACGGCCUGGGCGUGCUAGAGGCCAAGUGCCUUGUAUUAUAAAGUUCUUUUCUGCGCCAAAUUUUUGCAAUUUUCUCUUAGAUCAAGCGGAUUAAAGAUUAAGGAAGCUUUUGAACAUAAUUAUACUAAAAGUGAUUUAAAAUCAAAUUAAAGCAAUCAAAACUUACUAAAAUUCAAAUAAAAACUAUAUUAAAACACUAUAGAAUUAACACCUAUCACAAACCUUCCUUGUUUUCUUCUAUCUCCAAUCCAAGGAAAUGCCUGAGCUUUUCUAGCUCUUUUAUCUUGAAACGAGUAGCCAAAUUCUCUCGGAUGAGUUGAAUCUCUUCGAUGUUGUCGCCAGUGAUUAUUAAAUCAUCAAUAUAUACUAGCACUAUAGCUAGUCUUCCUUCCCGAUCUUUCACAAAUAAACUGGAGUCUGCUAGUGUCAUAUCAUAUCCAUUCUUGACAAGGAACUCUGCAAUCUUGCCAUACCAAGCCCUCGGUGCUUGUUUUAGACCAUAGAGAGCUUUCCUUAGCUUGCACACAUAGUUAGGAUUUUUACGACUUCUGAACCCUGAUGGUUGCUCCAUGUAGAUUUCACGAUCAACUUCACCAUGUAAGAAUGCAUUCUUCACAUCCAUCUGCCACAAAGGCCAUGACUUACUAGCUGCUAAAGCUAGUAAUACACGCACUGUAGUGAUCUUGGCAACUGGACUAAAUGUCUCAUCAUAGUCCAAGCCAUACUGUUGAGAAAAUCCAUGAGCACCCAGUCUUGCUUUGUAUCGCUCAAUUGAUCCAUCCGGGCGAGUUUUGAUUUUGUAGACCCAUUUGCAAGAGAUAGGUUUCACAUCUUUUGGUUUUAAUAAUUCCCAUGUUUGAUUUUCCUCCAAAGCAGCAAUUUCUUCUUCCAUCGCAGUAGUCCACUCCAUCUUCUUUGAUGCUUCUUCAUAAGUUGUUGGCUCCUUUAUCUCUGCUAUAGCAACAUUUGCAUAUUUUGGAUUAGGCCUUCUUUCUCGACCCGAUCGCCGAAGUAGAGGAUAAUCUGGAUCUUAUUCUUCUUGACUUGGCUGCUCUUAUUCGUAUGCACCUAUCUUCCAUGGGUUCUUCGAUUUCUCUUGAACUCUGGAUGGCUCUGCUUGACCUUUCUCUGGGAUNNNNNNNNNNNNNNNNNNNNNNNNNNNNNNNNNNNNNNNNNNNNNNNNNNNNNNNNNNNNNNNNNNNNNNNNNNNNNNNNNNNNNNNNNNNNNNNNNNNNNNNNNNNNNNNNNNNNNNNNNNNNNNNNNNNNNNNNNNNNNNNNNNNNNNNNNNNNNNNNNNNNNNNNNNNNNNNNNNNNNNNNNNNNNNNNNNNNNNNNNNNNNNNNNNNNNNNNNNNNNNNNNNNNNNNNNNNNNNNNNNNNNNNNNNNNNNNNNNNNNNNNNNNNNNNNNNNNNNNNNNNNNNNNNNNNNNNNNNNUGAAUAUGCAGCGAAGUGUCUUUUUGUCAAACUUGCUUCGAAGUUCAUCCGGAACGAAGACAUAACACACGCAUCCAAAAACGCGAAAAUGACUUACAGUUGGUUUAAUGUUCCACACUCCAGUCUUGCUUGAGGUAGUCUGUUGGUGACGUACACAACUGUCUUCAUGCACUCUGCCCAAAAUCUAGCUGGCACAUUCUUCGCAUGGAGCAAACUCCUGCAAAUCUCCACUAGGUGUCGAUUCUUUCUUUCAGUAACUCCAUUCUGCUGUAGUGUUCUUGGACAUGUGAAUUGCCUUCGAAUGCCUUGCUCUUGGCAAUAUUUAGUGAAUUCGUCAGACGUGUAUUCUCCGCCAUUGUCGGUGCGAAGACAUCUAAUUUUAUUCUCAACUUCUUUUUCAACUUUCUUCUUGAAAGCUUUGAAUUUUUCAAAAGCUUUCGACUUCUCUACCAUGAAUCUUACCCAAACAUAUCUCGAGUAGUUGUCGAUGAAAGUAAUCAUGUACCUCAUAUUACUAUUUGUAGGCUGCUUGAUCCGUCCAAGAACAUCUGAAUGUAUGAACUCCAAUGGCACCUUGGCUCUAUGUUUGGACUCUUCAAAGGGAAGUUGGUGAGCCUUUCCAUAUUGGCAUCCAGCACAUAUAGUAUCUUCUCGGCAUUCGAACUGAGGAAGACCUUUAAGCAUGGACUGAUUCAUCAUCACCUUAAGCUUGUGAUAACUAACAUGUCCCAGACGAGCGUGCCACAAGUCAGCUGUCUCGUUCUUCCUUGUUCUGUCAAUAUAGGCUUCUUGUGCUGACAUGACGUAGAUUGAUUCUACUNNNNNNNNNNNNNNNNNNNNNNNNNNNNNNNNNNNNNNNNNNNNNNNNNNNNNNNNNNNNNNNNNNNNNNNNNNNNNNNNNNNNNNNNNNNNNNNNNNNNNNNNNNNNNNNNNNNNNNNNNNNNNNNNNNNNNNNNNNNNNNNNNNNNNNNNNNNNNNNNNNNNNNNNNNNNNNNNNNNNNNNNNNNNNNNNNNNNNNNNNNNNNNNNNNNNNNNNNNNNNNNNNNNNNNNNNNNNNNNNNNNNNNNNNNNNNNNNNNNNNNNNNNNNNNNNNNNNNNNNNNNNNNNNNNNNNNNNNNNNNNNNNNNNNNNNNNNNNNNNNNNNNNNNNNNNNNNNNNNNNNNNNNNNNNNNNNNNNNNNNNNNNNNNNNNNNNNNNNNNNNNNNNNNNNNNNNNNNNNNNNNNNNNNNNNNNNNNNNNNNNNNNNNNNNNNNNNNNNNNNNNNNNNNNNNNNNNNNNNNNNNNNNNNNNNNNNNNNNUGUUUCCUUCUACUUAUCUGCUUUGACAUUCUCGGGCGAAAUGUCCUCUUUUGUUGCACUUGUAGCAACGAUCACUUUCUUGCCAGUCGUCUUUCCUUUGUCCUGGCCUUGCUCUCCCUUGCUGUGAUGGUCUCCACUUUUGCUUUCUCCAUCCUUGUUGAUUGCUCCUUUCUUAUCCACCAUCUACUCUCAUAACGUUUCGAAAUUCCCUCUUUUUAGAAAGAGAGCUUUCUCAUCAUCCUUCAAAGCUACUUUAGACAUUUUUUCGUCCAAAGUCUCUUCAUUGGAUAAGAUAUUUUCUAACUCGUCUAAGGUUGGUUGUGUAGCCCUACCACGAGUAGCAGUCACAAGACCCUUAAAUUCAGGUCUUAGACCAUGGAUAAUGAUCCUCUUCAUCCUUGUCUCGUUGAUCUCGUUGUCUGGAUCUAAUUUCAAAAUCUCCUCACAUAAAGAUUUUACUUUAGAAAAGUAUUGACUUAUAGUGAGGUGCUGUUGCGAGAUUAAGAACAACUCAUUUUCGAGCCGUUGCAAUUUUGCUUCGUUCUUCUAAGCGAAAGUAGACUUGAGAAUGUCUCAUGCUUCCUUUGGUGUUUUAGCUGACUUGAUCCGUUGCAUCUGCUCAUCUUCUACUGCAACUGUUAGCACAUACAUCUCCUUCCCGCAUUUUGUCUCCCACUCUUUCAGAGCUUUCGCAUCCCCAACUGGUGGUGUAGUAUUAUCUCCUCCGACGAUAUCCCAUAAGUCUUGACCUAUGAGAUAAUAUCUCAUACGGGUACUCCAGUUCCCGUAAUUGUUGCUAUUUAGCUUCUCGAUACUAUUAGCAACUCCAGAAAAAUCCGCCAUAAGGUACUGGUGUUCCUGACAUUAACCAAUGCACAACGGUUCUUGACCAAUCAAGAUCACAAUCCUUGCUUGUGAAUCUUGCUUCAACAAUAGUCCCUAACUAUUAAUUCCAGCAGAGUAAUGAUACUCUACACUUGUAAAUGAACACCACAAAGUAUCACGGCUACAACAACUACCACCACAACCAAGUUCUGAUACCACUUGUUGGGAUUAAGGCUCUGAUACCACUUGUUGGAUAUCAGCUCAGUGAUAAACUCCAAGAUUGAUUAAUAAUUUAUAACACCAAAAAUAAUAAAGGGAAAGGCAGCCAAAAUAAUACUAACAUAAAACACCAAAUAAAAUUGUACUAAUAAAAAGCAAACAUUCACAAAGCUUAAGGAAAUGAUUACUUACUUGAUUUUUGCUUGGUGCUUGCUUGGUUACAAAUGAGAGGAGGGGUGGUAUUUAUAGGCAUUUCCACCUUCUCAAUGUACGGCUAAGAUUUGUUUACAAAAAUGGACGGUCUAGAUUACAAGGAACAUUCUAGAGUUAGGUAAGAUAUUUUCAUUACAUCUCAUUUAUGGAGAAUUGUGAAGUAUUCUGGAAUGUGGGCUUGAACCUCCAACUUUGGGCUGCAGGCUUCCCAAGUCUCGGUCCAUUAUGGCAGCCCAAUUUAGAUUGUGACUUUUCUAAAUUAAUCGGUGAUAUUUUAAUAUCUUGAUGCUUUCUUUCCGGGCUUCAGAGCCAACCGAGGAAUUAGGUAUGCUGAUGCCAAUGGAGAUGGACAAGUUGACUUGACUGAGCUGGAUGAUCUGGUAAAUUAUGCUGUUAGACUUGGCUACUCUACUUACUAGAAACAGCUUGAGAGAUGGAAAUUAAACAAGCAAGCUCCCUCUUAAAAUAAAAGUAUUUUAGUUUCUGGUGGCUGCCCUGCCAUGCACUUAUGAAUUAAAUGUGUUUGCUUCUUUAAUUUCUAUUAGAUAUAUGUAAGNNNNNNNNNNNNNNNNNNNNNNNNNNNNNNNNNNNNNNNNNNNNNNNNNNNNNNNNNNNNNNNNNNNNNNNNNNNNNNNNNNNNNNNNNNNNNNNNNNNNNNNNNNNNNNNNNNNNNNNNNNNNNNNNNNNNNNNNNNNNNNNNNNNNNNNNNNNNNNNNNNNNNNNNNNNNNNNNNNNNNNNNNNNNNNNNNNNNNNNNNNNNNNNNNNNNNNNNNNNNNNNNNNNNNNNNNNNNNNNNNNNNNNNNNNNNNNNNNNNNNNNNNNNNNNNNNNNNNNNNNNNNNNNNNNNNNNNNNNNNNNNNNNNNNNNNNNNNNNNNNNNNNNNNNNNNNNNNNNNNNNNNNNNNNNNNNNNNNNNNNNNNNNNNNNNNNNNNNNNNNNNNNNNNNNNNNNNNNNNNNNNNNNNNNNNNNNNNNNNNNNNNNNNNNNNNNNNNNNNNNNNNNNNNNNNNNNNNNNNNNNNNNNNNNNNNNNNNNNNNNNNNNNNNNNNNNNNNNNNNNNNNNNNNNNNNNNNNNNNNNNNNNNNNNNNNNNNNNNNNNNNNNNNNNNNNUGCCUUGGUUUUACAGGCAGGUACAAGAUGCUUUACCUUUGCGUUAUUAAGACAUGCUACUUAUUUUCUUAAGCAAGUCUUUUUGUCGAUUCCAUGAACGUAGGUUCCACUUGUGGGUCCUACAAAUUGGAGAAAUUAUAUAAGGUUUUAGUGCACAGCUACAUUUACCAUUUUCAAAUUCUUUCAAUAGGGUAAAUUAUACUUUCCUAGAUAAUCGAGAGAGAAAAAUAAAAGUGCAAAAAGAAUGGAAGAACUACAGCUAGAGGUACCAUUCAUAGUAGCAAUAAAAGAUCAUCCAGGAACUAUAGGCAGCAGGAAAAUAUCACAUGAAUUAGCAGAGUUCCUACGAUGUCCUCUUAUUAAUGAAAAUGAUAUCACCCAAACCCUCGAAAAAAUAUCCAUUCCAACCCCCUCAAGUUCAACCAUAACUCAAACUUCUAAUGAGCUUUCAGACAAUUUACCUUUUGAGAUUAUUUCUCAAAUUGCCUUAACCCAACUCAGCUUGAAGUUCAAUGUUAUCAUCAACAUGUUGCUGUUCAAUGAUGUCCGUCUCAAUAAAUUGAUAGAACUGGAGCAUUCUGGGAAGGCGCGCUUGAUCAUUAUUCAAGGCGAAAGCAAUAAUCAUCAAGAUUAUUAUGACAGUGGUCAUAUCUUGAAGGUAAGCAUCGAAAAAGAGUCAUUUAAUGUGAAUGAAGUUGUCACCAAAAUGUAUAAUUUACUAGAUGGUAUGAGAGACAAUGCAAAGAGCCACAACAAACUUACCAGACAACCUAUAAAUGACCAUUUGCAUGAAUUAGUUUUAUCUAAAGAGCCAAGAACGAACAAAAUCCUAUGCAGAAGUUGCUCAAAACUUGUUUCUGGUCUCUCUUAUGAAUGUGCAGAGUGCAAUGAGUUCACCUUUCAUAAAUCAUGUGCAGAGUCAUCCCCAGAUGUAAAGAAUUGUCCUCGUUGGUUAAGGGAAAUGAAGCCAAAGCAAUAUGACUUCCAAAAGACAUAUAAAUGUAAUAACUGUGAAGAAUUUUCAGAAGAUUGUUAUGAUUGUCUCUUCCAAACCAACGUUAAACAUGGAUUUUUGCCGACUAUUCUUCAUCAUCAAAGACAUCAACACUUUCUUAAUUUCAUAAUCAUGCCCUUCCAGUAUAAUUAUCAAUAUAAAUGCUGUAUAUGUGAUAAACUGGGCAGCUCAGUUAGCUACAAAUGUUAUGACUGCAACUAUGACGUUCAUGUCAAGUGCAUAUUACCAAGCACCAUUAGGAUGCGUGGGAAUGAUUAUUCCCUUGUCUCUGCGUCGUCGUAUCAUCAAGAUGAGUUGGAAAAGUAUAAUUGUGAUAUCUGCCGUGAAAGAAUAGAAUCGAGCCAACUAUUAUAUUGGUGUGAAGAACAAGAUUUUAUUCAUGCGGGUAAAAUUAAAUAUUUUACUGAUCAAAACAAAAAUUCACCCAUUCAUGUGAAGUGCAUGCCUAGUGUUACUGCACAGCCGUUGGAGGAAACAGCAGCUGCAUAUUUUGACCAUAUGCAGCCGUAUUCUUUCAUAAUUAGGAAGCCUGAGAAUGGUGAUUUCCUCAUCUCUGCGCCGUCGUAUCCCCGAUAUGAGUUGGAAAAGCAUAAAUGUGAUCAAAACAAAAAUUUACCCAAUCAUGUGAAGUGCAUGCCUAGUGUUAAAGAAGAGAGUAUUGAUGGGAAAGCUGCUGAAUUCAUCGAGAUGAAGCAGAGGAAAUUUGAUUUAAGGAAAUGGAAAACCUUUAAGUUGCAUAAUUAAUUAUUAUCAGGGUUUGGUAUAUGUCAGUUAACCAGAGAUUGCUACUAAUUAUUAACACAGCUAUUUACUUAUUUGUGGGUUUUGGGUCUGGCUUGUAUUCCUGCAGCAGAUUAAAAUCAUUCAUUUUUAUAUUAUUUGUCAUUUAAAAGUGAAAUGAUUUAAUAACAUUGUAUUUUUCUUUUUCUUUUUUCUUUUUUUUUUUUUGUUCUAUUCAUAUAGUAGCUAAGCUUAAUUAACUACUCACUACAAGAAUUGUAAUUUGAUUGCAGAGAAACUUCCAAUUUGUAAUUAUAAUGUUCUUAUGGAACGUUUAGGUCAUACAUGGACUUGCAAGUUGUAAUUUAUCACACAAUUAGCAAGCUAAAUAGACUUAUUUAUUUAUCAUUCCUAGAUCUUUAAAAAACAGUAGAAAGAAAAAAUAUGUGCAAAAAAUAAAAACAGCAGGUAAACUAAACAAAUUACUAUUAGAGGGUGAAAAUUGCAAUUGAAUAAAGUUAACAAAUCAAAAUUAUAAAUAUUGAUUAGAGAAAAAGACUUUUUUUUUUUUGGCAAUUCUACAAAAUACAUAAUACAAAAGAUAUGUAAAGUUGAGAAUACAAUCAGAAAAGAGAGGAACCCUUCCAAUCCAGAAAAGUGGAACAGAAAAUGCAAGGGGUUGAAUCAAAUAUAUUCUAGGAGAUAAGUAGGAAAAAUAAUGUAUAAGCAACUGUAGGGACAUAACAAAGAGUUCUACGUACGUAAACUCUAUAUAAACCCACAUUUCCUGAAUUGAAAUAUCAGAAAGCAAGGGAGCCAUUGUUGCUAUUAGCCAAGAACUAGUAGCAAGUUAUUUGGGUUCUGAGAGUAUGCCUCGUCAACCUUAUAUUGCUUAUAAAGGAAACGUUCCUCAGCCUAUUUUAAGUGAAGAGCUUAUAAAGGAAAUUAUUAAGAGAUGUGACAUCAAUCAUGAUAAUAUUAUCAGCGAGGAAGAGCUAAUCAAAGCUUUUGAUGAACUUGGUUCGAGGUUCCCUUGGUUUAGAGCCCAGAAGGCCAUGGCUUGUGCUGAUUCCAAUAAAAAUGGACAAAUCGACUCCGAUGAGUUGGAUCAAGUCGUCAAAUACGCUAGCAAGCAAGGAUACCAAUUCAAGAAGUCACAAAAAGCUUAUUUGAAUUGAUGUAAUUAGUAAUAUCCAUGUAAGGUGUUGCUUAAUAAUAAUUAGCAAGUUUUUAACUUGCUGUUAAUUAAUAUUGGAGUUACUUUUGGGUGUAAGGUUAUAAGUUUAAAUUUUCCCGAAAUCUAAUUUUUUUUUAAAAAAAAAAAUUUUAGCUUUUCUUUUUCUCCUUUGAUAACACUGAGAAAAAACAUCCAUUCAUUGUGUAUGUAUAAGACAGAAUCUAUUCGGUUUUUUUUUUAAAAGAUGGUAUAAAGUUGGGAAUAAUAUAAAGGGUGCAAGGACCAAUAAAGAGAGGCCUAUAUAAGCACAAGCUUCCACUCCAACAAACUCAUAUUGCAAUAGCUUUAAGCUUCGUUUAUGGCUACCCAUUUGGUUCAAGAUAAUAAAUGUAUGAAUAGUAAAGCCGUGCCUCUAACCGAAAAACAGAUACGAGAAAUUAUCAGCAGCUGCGAUUCCAAUCAUGACAAUCUUCUCGACAUGGAUGAUCUAGAGAAAGCGUUUCGUCAACUGGGUUCAAAGCUCCCUGGUUUUAGAGCCACCCGUGUUAUGAGGUACGCCGAUGCCAACAGAGAUGGACCAUCGACUUGAAUGAACUUAACGAUGUCGUUAAAUAUGCUAGACGACAAGGGUGCUCCUUUAAGUGAAAGGUUUUUCCAGUUCAAUACGAUGUCGUUAAAGCUCUGGAAAAUAAAAUAAAUGUGUCGUUAGAGCUUUAUUUGCUGUCGUAUAUGUAUCCAAUAAAGAGGGGAUAGAUAAAGAUAACCCUCUGCUUCGUGACAUUUAUUAAUUCUAUUAACCAGUACUUAAGUCAUUUACUUUUUUUCAAGAGAAGCGGAGGUUAAUGAAACAUAAUCUGGAAAAACAAUCAUUAAUGAGACUUUUUUUUUUGGUUAAUUGUGUGACUAUUGUUUAAACCUAUGUCUUCUUAAUUUAAAAAUCAUAUGUCACUGUUUAGAAGUUGUUUUGUCUAAAAUUAUCAGAAAUUUUAAUAAAAUUAAUUUUUUUUAAUUUUACUCUUAUUUCUAUUAACUACAAUAAUUAUGUUCUAUAAUUUUCUAAAAUUUAUUUUAUCUCAUCCCUUUUAUCUCUUUUACUUUUAGUGGUAGAUAAUUAAAUGGAGAGAUAAUUAUUGAAUAAGCGAUGGGUCAUGAACUCAGUCUAGAUAAGUUUUUUUCAUCAGAGCAUUUAGAUGAGAUAAAUGGUAGUUUAGUCAAAUUUAGGCUAAUUUGUUUUUGUUUAAGUGAUUUAAUUAGAUUACACUUUUAUAUUCACUAGAGGAAUAAUAUUGUGGGCUACAUAACAGAUAUAACUACAUUUGAUUAGUGAAUUGAUGAAUUUUUUAAUUAUUGUGCAAAAAACUUAAAUGACGGAGAAAAUAAAAAUGAACAGACGAUUAGACAUGAUUUAACUACGAAUAAUUGUCUGUAAACUAGCAUUAUCUCUAAAUCCUGCAUCAUGAUUAUUACGUAAGGCAUCUGAUGUUUCUUGAUGGUUUAAUGCCUAAUUAUCAUGUUAUUCUCUGUGGUUUAAACGAUUCCUCCUAAUUAAAGGGAGAAC